rnacentral:lncRNA from 1 species
AAUUUCAUUCCUGUGAUAGUCACUGGGAUGCAAAUGCUCGUAAUUUGAGAUAUGUUAAAGGAUAUCCAGGUCAAGGUUUAUAUGAAAAUGGAGGUCUUCCCCAAGUGAUUGGUUACUCAGUUGUUGAUCUCCCUCUGAUGAACAAUCUACCUCAGGGUACCAUAUUUUUUAUCUAGUGUUGAGGAUGAGUGGCGUGCGGUGGCCUUGGUGGUAUCUGGAUCAAGCAACUAAUUCAUGAGUUGAAAUUUAUAGAGGUCGUUUAAAUGAAAUUCUUUUCAGACUAAUAUUGAAGAAAAAGGUAUUCAAGACUAAUAUUGCUUCUGACCUGAUUUUCAUGAGAGGACCACAAAUAUUGAAGAAAAAGGUAUUUAAGACUAAUAUUAAACACAUAAUCAAAUCAUAAAUACCAAUUUACACUAUUUCAAAAGGUAAGUGUUACUUCAUUUGAAUUAUAGUUACAAGGUGUGAUUUAUCGUUUGUUAUGUUUCUUAGGUUAGGUUUUACUACAAGAAUUUGGGUUGGGGUUAACUCAAUCCUACAAAACUGACUUGUAAGGUGGGGACUACCCUCACUUAUAAACUUAUGUUCAAGCAUUAUCUCAUCCAAGGUGAGACUCUUAACACACACACCUCACGCCCAGGACUGGACAUAUGGAGUGUGAACCGGUAUUGGUAAUCUGAUAACAGGUGGCCCAGUGGAUCUUUGAUACCGAUUUGGGAUGGGCUUAACUCGAUCUCUAAAAAACCGACUUGUAAGGUGAGAACUACCACCACUUGUAAACUUAAGUGAAAGUCUUCUCUCAUCCGAUGUAGGACUCUUUACAUAACCUAUAAAUCCCCCUCACAAAUUUAGUAUUAAUGCAGAGUUUCAAUCCUUAUAGAACAGGUAUUAUUUUUUCAAUCUUGAAGGAUAAAUUACAAAAUGUCUAUAAAAAUGACUCUAAUGCAAGGUAGUCAAAAUCGCGAUCCAACUCGUAGGAUCGUACGACUGUGAUCUGGUAGACGCGGUAAGGACCGCCGCGGAAAAUUGUGAAUCGUGAGUGUCGGCCGUUUCUGUUCAUGCAGCACAGAGUUGUUGUUUGUGUGUCGGAUUUACAACCCGGUUUCUUAAAACGAUGUUGUUAUUACUAAAUCCUUAAAAAAAACACGUGAAAGGCACAUGCGGUCUAUUGUUUUGUUAUACACUGAGGUCUCCUUUUUUAUGUUUUUUGGCCUUUUGUUUUUUUGUUAUACGCUGAGGUAUUUUUUUUUUUUCUUUUUUUUUUUUGUUCCACGCUAUUUUCUACUUAUACAUGUUGCUUUCUUUUUUGUUGUCAAUAAUUAAUAACCAAUAAUGUGAUUUAAAAAGUCCAUACACAUAAACACAAUAUUAUUAAUAAUAAAAGAAAUUUUUAUGUUAUAUUAUUUUUUAUUUAAUAAAGUGUUUUAAAAGAAAAUAAUUUAUUUUUCUUAUCAAGUAAUUAAGGUGUUUUGAAGUGUUUUUUCACCUAUAUAUAUAUAUACUAAAUCUCAACCUCAACCUGAUGCCUCUAUGCUUUCACCCUCUGUUCAGAACACCACUGGCUCUGAUUUUUCCAAUCAGUUUGGAUCCUCACGUGGUAGAGGAGGCCGUGGCAGAGGUGGUCGUUUUACUAAUGUUCAAUGCCAAGUCUGCUUUAAAUUUGGACAUCCUGCUUUCUCAUGCUAGCACAGGUUUAAUCAGCAGUUUCAGGUCCCUAUUCCUCCCAAUUUUCAAGGCUCAAUGCCUGCUGCUGGUGAUCCCUAUCAUGCUUACAACUCUGGCAUGUCUCCAUAUGGACCUACUCACUCUGGAUAUGGUGUUUCACCUACUGGUUAUGGUGUUAAUAUGGCCUACAAUCCUUUUCAGCAAUGGCAGAGACCACCAGCUCCUCAACAACAGAGACCUCCUUCCUUUCAGUAUGGUUUACCUAGUGCUAUGAUCACUAAUGCUCCAUCAACAAGUGGCUCCUCUAAUGCCUCUACUACAUGGUUUCCUGAUUUUGUAGCUUCCUUCCAUGUGACUGGUGAUGCAAGGAACAUUCAGGAACACUUAGCUUUUGAUGGACCUGAGCAAAUUUUCAUUGGGAAUGGCCAAGGUUUGGACAUACAUUCUUCUGGUUCUAGUGUGUUUACCUCACCUAUUAAACCACAAACUACACUGACACUUAAUCAUCUUUUACAAGUUCCUACAAUAACCAAAAAUCUAAUUAGUGUCAGUCAAUUUGCUAGGGAUAACUCUGUCUUUUUUGAGUUCCAUGCUGAUCAUUGUGUUGUCAAAUCCCAGGCCACUAAAGAGGUUCUUCCGCAUGGCAAAGUGGGUUCUGAUGGUCUCUAUACUUUUCCAAGUGUUUCUCUCCAAUCUGCUAAGUCUUCAAUGUCUUUACCUCUUUCAAAUAAUGUAUCAUGUAUCUGUUUGCACUCUUAAUACUAGUUCUAGCACUUGUAAUAAUCAGUCCUCCUUUACUACACAAUAUUUGAGGCAUUUAAGGUUAGGACAUCCUAAUAUUCACACACUCUACAGCACUGUAAUAUGUCCAUUAUCAAUAAAGAAAAAGAUGUAUCCAAUUUUUGUACUGCUUGUUGCAUAGGUAAGGCUCAUAGGUUACACCCACCAUCUUCUGAAACUACAUAUAAUCAUCCUCUACAACUUGUUUUUAGUGACCUAUGGGGUCCCUCUCCCACUGUUUCCUCUCUAUGAUACAAUUAUUAUAUCACUUUUGUUGAUGCAUUUUCUAGAUAUACUUGGAUUUAUCUCUUAAAAACCAAAUUUGAUGCUUUUCUUAUUUUUAAACAAUUCAAAGCUAUGGCUGAACUUCAACUAGGUUGGUGAGUAUAGGAAUUACUCAUAGACUCAUUUGUCCUCGCACUCACCAUCAAAAUGGUGUUGUGGAAAGAAAACACAGGCACAUAGUUGAGCUUGAUCUCACUCUCCUUACUCAAGCCUCUUUACCUUUGACCUAUUGGGACCAUGCCUUUCUUACUUCUGUUUACCUUAUUAACAGACUUCCUACUUCAUCUCUUCAAUUUAAAAUCCCUCAUCAAGUCUUAUUUCACCAACAACCUGAUUAUAAUUUCCUAAAAGUCUUUGGUUGUGCUUGUUUCCCUUUACUUAGACCUUAUAAUGCUCAUAAACUUGACUUCAGAUCUCAUGAGUGCAUUUUUUUGGGUUAUUCUCCUUCUCAUAAAGGUUACAAGUGCUUGUCUCCUAGUGGUCGUAUUUUUGUAUCCAAGGAUGUUCUUUUUAAUGAGUCAAGGUUCCCUUAUCCUCUAUUGUUCACCACUACUCCCUAUGACCCUCUAAAUCCUAUCAAGGAUGUUUCUUUAUCAUCUUUACCCGUAGACACCAGUACUAUCAGUACAUCUACAUCAACUUUACCUACAUCAACUUUACCCAACUCACCUACUCCCACUAUCUUGUCCCCUGCAUCUACAUCAAUUUCUCCUUCUGCAGAGUCCUCCCAAUCUCCUAUUAUCUCUCAAUCUGCCUCUGAGUCUUCCUCUAGUUCCUCUUUCACUACUGCCCCUCCUGUCAACCCAACACCCUAAGCAAACUAGAUCCAAAUCGGGUAUUGUUCUUCCUCGUCUCAAUCCCACCCUUUAACUUAUACACACUGAACCUAAGAAUGUAAAACAAGCUCUGGCAGAUCCCCAAUGGAAUGCUGCUAUGAAGGAAGAAUUUAAUGCCCUUCAGAACAAUCAUACUUGGUCACUUGUGCCCCUUCCACCCAACAGAAAAGCUAUUGGUUGUAAAUGGGUGUUUAGGAUAAAAGAAAAUUCCGAUGGUAACAAGUAUAAAGCACGCUUAGUUGCUAAAGGCUUUCAUCAACUUCAAGGAUUUGACUUUAAUGAAACUUUCUCUCCUGUUGUGAAGCCUGUAACUAUCAGAAUUAUUCUUACUCUUGCUAUCUCAUACAAGUGGCCACUUCAACAGCUGGAUGUUAAUAAUGCCUUCUUAAAUGGCAUCCUUGAGGAAGAAGUGUAUAUGCAACAGCCUCAGCUUUUGAAAGCAGUGACACAAUUAGUUUGCAAGCUUCAUAAGGCUCUCUAUGGCCUCAAGCAAGCUCCUAGACAAUGGUUUGACCAGUUAACAACUGCUCUAAUUCAGUUUGGGUUUAAGGCUAGUAAGUGUGAUCCCUCACUAUUUACCUAUGCUAAACAAAAACAAGUGGUUUAUCUUCUUGUGUAUGUUGAUGAUAUUAUCAUCACAUGCAGUUCUUCUGAUCUUGUUAACACUUUGGUUCACAAACUGGACUCCGUUUUUAGCCUAAAACAUCUUGGCUCUCUAAGCUACUUUCUUGGAAUUGAGGUCAAACACCUUGAUGAUCACUCUUUACUUCUUACUCAAAGUAAAUAUAUCAAGGAUCUGCUUUCAAAAACUAACAUGCUUGAACGUAAUCCCAUAAAUACUCCUAUGAUGUCCAGCUGCAAGCUAUCUAGACAGGGUUCAGAUACUUUUCAUGACAUCUCUUUGUACAUAUCAGUGGUUGGUUCCCUGCAGUAUGCCACCAUUACCAGACCAGAGAUUGCAUACUCAGUCAACAAAGUAUGCCAGUUCAUGUCUCAACCUCUAGAAUCUCACUAGGUUGUUGUUAAAAGGAUACUCAGAUACCUCAAAGGUACUCUCAACUAUGGUCUGAAGCUGUUCCCUGCCCCUAUUCAUAAACCUCUCCCUCUCCAAGUGUUUGGUGAUGCUGACUGGGCAGCAGACCCUGAUGACAGAAGAUCUACUUCUGGUGCUGCUAUUUUCUUUGGUCCAAAUCUUAUCUCCUUGUGGUCUAGAAAACAACCAGUUGUUGCAAGAUCCAGCACUGAAGCUGAAUAUAGGUCUCUUGCUCAAGCAACUGCUGAUGUACUUUGGAUUCAGACUUUACUGCAAGAACUCACAGUUCCCUUCACUUCUCCUACCAUUUUUUGUGAUAACCAAUCAGCAGUUUUGCUGCACACAAUCUUAUCCUUCAUACCAGGACCAAGCAUAUGGAGAUAGAUCUUUUCUUUGUUAGGGAGAAGGUUUUAGCUAAACAACGCUCUGUUGUUCACAUUCCUGGCAAAGAUAUUUCUCUUUCUACUCCUUCAAACUUUAUAUAUGGCAUCAUUAAUCACCAAAUCAAUGCCAUAAAUCCUUCAAAUGGCCCUGAAAUCAAUCAGAUUGAAAUCAGUCUUUCAAGUACUGUUCACACACUGAAGUUUGUAACUUAUCAAUUGGCAGAUGUCAUCAGGAGAUUCGGGACUAUCACGAAUCCAAACAAUAGGUCAAAGGUAUAGUUUAUGUUGGAAACCAUGCCUUCAUUGCAGUCCGUCCCUAAUUGCAGUAUUUAGGUUGCCUUCAUUGCAGCCUCAAACACCUUAGGAAUGGAUUUAGUCCCACAUUGCCUAUAGAUAUGGCCUAUGUAGUGCUUACAAAGUUUGGGCAGCCCUCAGCCCGUCAUCUAACAAGCCGGUUUUGUAGGGAUGAGUUAGGCCCAAUAUAAAACCUAAGAUGGCAUCAGUGCCAAUCCUAGAUCCUUUGUUGGGCUUCCUGCAUCAUCCAGGCUUCAGGCUCAUUGGGACCGAGCGUGAGGGUGUGUGUUGGAAAUUCCACAUUCAUUGCAGCCCGUCUCUAACCGCCUAAUUGCGGCAUUUGGGUUGCCUUCAUUGCAGUCUCCAACACUUCCAUUGUGUUCAGUGUGAAGAGGUGGAUUUAGUCCCUUGUUGCCUAGAGAAAUGGCAUGCCUAGUGCUUAUAAAGUUUGGGCAGCCCUUGCCUUACAAGCCGGUUUUGCAGGAUUGAGAUAGGCCCGACCCAAAUUCUAAGAGUUUAGAGACAAGAUAAAAGAAAUGGUUGAUAAGAUGAUGAAGAUUCACAGGCAGAGAAAAAAGACUUCAAUAAAAGCAUGCUUCACUGUUAGCAAAAUAGAGAAGACGUACAUUUUUAUGAAGAUCUGCAUCACUACUUCUAUUGCUCGGAUAAUGGGAGAAUGAGUUAUCAUCCCCUCGUUCUCUUAUAAGACGAUUUUGCUUUAGUGUUUCAUUCAUUGCACGUACAGCCCUACAAUGAAUAGAUCCAGAGUUACAGUAUUUGAAAUACUUAAAUUCAAUUACACAAAUAUACAAUACAUAACUAAUACAGCAAAUAACCAUGCACGUUAAUGCAACUGACAUAAGUAUGUAUUAUAAUUUACAAUCAUGCACUUGCAUUAGAUAUUUAGCAUAAAGCAAUAUAAAAUAGCAGCCUCUGCUCAUGAUAACCUAUCGAAUUAGUUCAUUUGGAAGUUGAGCUGAAUUACAAUCUAAGAUAAACUGAUCAUGCAAUCAUGACCCAAAGCAUUUCGAUUUUGAAUAAGUGUUAAUAGAAAAUGUGGAAGGGUGCAUGGCACAAGAUUAAGGAAUGGUGCAUGGCACAAGAAUAAGGAAUCUUCUAAAAACAGAGAUGAAAUAAAGAAAAACAAAUACAAACAUUCUUUUCACAUCAGGUAAGGAAAACUCUUGCAAUGAGCUUUUAGCUUAAUUAACACUGACCUACCUGGGUGUGACAAUAAUAUUAAAUACUUGAUACUCUACUAGGUCACCUAUCUCCCUCCCCUAUGACCUACCCAGGAGGUGCUUGCACAUCCAAUGUACUAAAACAAGUCUGUUCCAUAUAAAUCGGGAGAUAAAUAUUUGUGGCUAAAAUUUCUUGUAUUGCAUUCAAGCCAAAUGCAUCGCACACAUCACAAAAAGCAAGCACCAAAGUGCCUUGGUUGAAACAGAUAAGAAAGGGCAGCUCAGUCCAAUAGGGACCAUAUCACCCCCAACACAAAAACUGGACGGGUCUAUGGAGGACAGAUGUACUAUGCAACCAUACCCCAAAAGUAGAGAGACAGAACAGUGAACAAAACCUGUCUGUCACAAGCAAGCAGCAGCAUCAUUGCACAAAGUCUCCACUUUUAACGGGGCAAGUUUAAACAUUUGGAUUUACAAGGAACUUCAUUUACCAAAGAACAGAAAGAAAAACAAACAAAAAAAAAAAACCACAAAUGAACAACAUAUGACUGCUAGGAACACUCACUUUAACAAUCUCUUUUCAACACUAUAAUUGGGUGAAAUUCAUGUGGGUACCACAAUUUUGGGAAUAGGGCCAACAUAAAGUGGUGGGACCCGCAUGAUUUCAUCCGAUAAUAGUGAAUCUUGGAAAUUGAGUUUUAAAUUGAAUGUUCCAAGCAAUACUCAUGAAUGAUACCUAACUUCAAAUGUCAUAAUACAUUAUGUUUGCUCAUAUGAUAUGUUUGAUCCAGCCUCCAAGUGGCCAGAAUCUUAUGAACCUACCUGAUAAAUACAAAUAAAUAGUCCUAAGUCUCCCGACCUAAGCAUCUGCAUGAGAGCCAACAGAAUCUUUUUUUAUAUAUACUGAUCAAUAAGAUUCAGCGAGUAACAGUCUGAAAUUACUAGCAGAAUAUGUUGUUAACCCAACAAAAAAACUCAAUUGACUAAAAGAGAAAAGGAAAACAAAACUCUUAAGCUUGAAGGUAAGUUUUUGAUAAAUCAAAAGUUGAUCAACUAGAUAUUACAAAGAGCACAUUUAGUUAACAGAAUGAUCCAGGGAAAUUAUCACCUUUAACACAUCAAGGAACUGGCAUGAGCAUGCAAAUGUCCAAAUAAAAAAUAAUGUAGAAUACAACUACCUAAAAAAAUGAAAAAGCAGUGAUUUACUAACAUUCCAAAGACCACACAAUGCAAACCAAGUACAACACACUCCACAAAGAAGCAAGUACAAGCCCAGAAGCAUUAAGGAACAACAAACAACCUUACGAUAUCAUCCCCAAUCUCUGGCGUAAUGCUGAUGCUUCUUCGUCGUAUCCUACGAGCUUCUGAUGAGGAUGCACCAUCUGAUCUAUAGCUGGAUCUGAGAAAUGGAUGAACACCUCAUAAAUCAUCUAAUUAAAUAAUGAGAUAUAAAGGAAAAAGGACAAAAAUAUGGUGUACAUUAUUCCACAAAUGCCUAUAGCAGACAAUAUUUAUAUUCCUUAAAAUCCCAUCCAAUUUAACAAAUCUAUUGGAAGAGGAAAGGAACACUCACGUCAAGAAACAUAAAUAUGAAAACAUCAUCUCAAAGCAACAACUUGAACAACAAAUCUCUAUGAGCAGAGAAAAAUAAGUCUAGAGUGAUGAUAAUUAAGAUGAUUACAAUUUACGUCUAUCUUUUUUAUACUUUUGUUUACUUCUUUAGCUUUAGGCCUUGUCAGCUUUGAUAGCAGCGCUUAGACUUGAGCUGAUACACACUAAAUGUGAGGAUAUUAAAGAUUAAUACACAAGUUUUUAAGCAAGAUUCUUUCAACUUUACUAUAUUUUGUGGCAUCUAGAAAAAAUGCAUAUGAUGCGGACAAAAACAUGCAAGGCCUUAUAAACUAUAUAGACAUAAUAGGGUAUAAGAAAAUAUUAAGGGACCCUUAAAGUAAAAACCUUGAUGUAGCCUGGUCAUCAGCAAAAUCUCUAAAUUCUGUCCUAUCACCACUAAGCAUGGACCGUGCACGUGCUCGAAAUGAUGGGUGUUCUGGACUGCAAAACCAGAAAUAUUUCAAACAUAAGAUGACAGACCAUGAAUAUUUCAAUUGUUAAGUUUAUGCAUACAAUUCAGAGGUCGUUUAAAUACCCUUGCCUCUAUGUGCAAAAAGAUAACAUGUACAUGGAAAAAUUAGGAAGACAAUUGCCAUGUGGUAACUAGAAAUAUUUGGGGGCAAAGCUACACUGAAGAGAGAAAGUAAGGGUAUUAUCAACCCUUUGGUGAGUCACGAUCAUGAUGCCUAUUAAAUCAAAUUAAUGGUACACAGUGUAUGCACCUUUACUUGCUUAGUUUAAGAUAAACUCCUUUUAUAGAAGGCUUACCCAAAUUUGUGAAAAACAAAGAACUCACAAUAAAUUUAAAUUGUUAUGUAUGACUUGGAGAUCGUUUAGAUAUCAUUGCCACUGAGUUCAAAAAAUGAUAACAGAAAUCAGAGUUCAUAAAAUGAUAACAUAAACAGAAAUCAGUUAAAAAGAAAAAAGUGACGUGUCCUAGCAUCAAUUUAAGUGUCAAUAUCUACAGCUAUGCCCUCUAGUGUCAUACACCCUAGGCUCGACCCAUCAACAGUAUAAAACUUCAUGUACGAGAGAGAGAGAGAGAGAGAGAGAGAGGGAAAAAGGAAUUAUGAAAACAAAAAUAUGCAUACGCAUCAUUCCAAAACAUGACUGAACCUAAACCGAACAUAGGCCUACCGAUCAUUCCAAAACUAAAAAUAAAAGGAAUUAAGAAUAACCUUGAACUAGCAGUCCUCUGUUCAGCAAUGGCCUUUCUCCGACUACGGCGACCAAAUGCAGUUGCAAUAUUGGGUUCACUAUGAGACAAACUGAGAUAAUUGACAGAAUCAGUUAACAAGAAAGAGUUGGUACAGUGCAUGUCUUAGAUAUUCUAGUCAAACAAAGUUUCACAAUUAAAUAAAAAAAUUGACACUAACAAAAGUGAAACUAUAAGUGAAUACAUAUUCUAAUGAGAUGAAAACAAAGGGGAAAAGAGCAUGAAACAUAUCAGGAUAUGCAAUGGAAAGUAUUGUUAGAAUAAUUAAUCAAGUACUUAGUGGAGAUAUUGAAAAGUUGUGACUAUUUAGUUUUAACUCCACUAGUCAUUGUAUUGGUUAUCUCACAGAUGCAGCGCGCGAAGCUGGAACGGAGAAUCUUGCUUACACUGAAUGGGAAGAACAAGAUUCGAAGAACAAGAUUCAUUGCUCUGCACCUGGAUUCUUUCAACGAUUUCGCCUUCGCUACUUUCGCGAUUCGUUCUCAUUCGCCACUUAGGGCAGGUUUGGGAUGAGAUCCAUAAUUACUGCUUCACGCAGAUGAAGACGCGUUCGCGUAAACUUCGAUCUGAACUUAGAUCCAUUAGGAAAGGUUCACGCACUGUCGCUGAAUUCAUUGCUCGAAUUCGCGCAAUUUCAGAGUCUCUUGCUUCAAUUGGAGAUCCAGUCUCUCACAGGGACCUAAUUGAAGUUGUUCUUGAAGCACUUCCUGAGGAGUUUGACCCUAUUGUUGCUAGUGUGAAUGCGAAAUCUGAGGUUGUUUCUUUAGAUGAACUUUAAUCUCAGCUUCUCACACAAGAAUCUAGAAAUGAGAAGUUCAAGAAAGCUGCUAUAAGUGAACAAGAACCUGUUUCAGUUAAUCUCACCGAAACUGCAAAUUCAGAAUCUCAAUCUCAUGGUCCUAAUUCUCAAAACCACAAUUAUACUGAUGGCACCGAAAAGAAUCAGUUUCCUAACUCUAACCCUAAUUUUGGAGGAAGAAAUGGCCAAUUCAGAGGACGUGGUGGCCGUUUUGGUGGAAGAUCCAAUGUUCAAUGCCAAAUAUGUUCAAAAACUGGUCAUGAUGCAAGCUAUUGUCACUACCGUUUCUCUGCCCCACAGUAUGAUUACUACAGUCCCUAUGGCUCACCAGGAGGCUAUGGUGCACCUCCAAAUGUAUGGAUGCAGAACAUGUCACGUCCUCAGCAUUCUGGACAGUUUUUUAGGCCUCCCACUCAGGCUAGGAAUCAGAGAGGUCAAGCUCCCCAAGCCUUCUUAACUGGCUCAGAUCCACACAAUUCAUUCAACAAUGCCUGGUACCCUGACUCAGGUGCUACUCAUCAUGUCACCCCUGAUGCAUCCAACCUCAUGGAUUCCACGUCUCUUUCAGGUUCUGAUCAGGUCCAUAUUGGAAAUGGACAAGGUUUGGCUAUUUCCUCUGUUGGUUCCUUACAAUUUACUUCUCCUUUACAUCCUCAAACUACUCUAAAACUUAAUAAUCUCCUUCUUGUUCCCUCUAUAACCAAAAAUCUUGUUAAUGUGAGUCAGUUUGCUAAAGAUAACAAUGUUUACUUUGAGUUUCAUCCUAAUCAUUGUUUUGUCAAAUCUCAGGAUUCUUCUAAGGUGCUUUUAAGAGGUAUUCUAGGACAUGAUGGUCUCUAUCAAUUUGAGCACACCAAAUCAUUCAAGACCACUGCUCCUGUCUCUCAAAAUUCUAGUGUCAACACUGUUUGCAAUAAAGUUCCAGCACAAACUGAUAAUUCUGCCUCUUUUCAUUUAGGUCCCCAACUGGUUUCAAUUUCAAUAAUUUUCAAUGUAAUAAUGUUGAACAUUUACUUAGUAGUUCAACAUCUAGUUCUACUCAGUCUUUUCCUUCCAUGUAUGGUAUCUGGCAUUGCAGACUUGGACAUCCUCAUCAUAAGGUGCUCCAAAGUAUUAUCCAACUUUGUAAUAUACAAUUACCAAAUAAGAGCUUGUCGGAUUUUUGUACUGCUUGUUGUCAUGGUAAGGUUCAUAGACUGCCAUCUUUUGCAUCUCAAAUGACAUAUACUAAACCUCUUGAAUUAAUUUUCUGUGAUCUUUGUGGACUUGCACUAGUUGAAUCCUCUUGUGGAUAUACCUAUUUUCUUACUUGUGUGGAUGCUUAUUCUAGAUACACAUGGAUAUAUCCUCUGAAACUCAAAUCUCACACACUUUCUACAUUUCAGAAUUUUAAAACCAUGAUUGAAUUGCAGUUACAUCACAAAAUUACUUCUGUCCAAACUGACGGAGGUGGUGAGUUUUUACCUUUCACAAAAUAUCUCAAUAGCCUUGGCAUCACUCACAGAUUCACUUGUCCACCCACUCACCAUCAAAAUGGCUCAGUUGAAAGGAAACAUAGACAUAUGGUCUCACUCUUUUAUCUCAUGCACAAAUGCCAUUAAAGUUUUGGGACCAUGCCUUUUUAACUGUAACUUACCUUAUCAACAGGUUACCUACACCAGUUUUAGCAAAUAAAUCACCCUUUUUCUUACUUCACCUUCAAUUUCCAGACUAUAAAUUCCUUAAAAGCUUUGGUUGUGCAUGUUUUCCCUUUUUGAGACCCUAUAACUCUCAUAAGUUUGAUUUUUAUUCAAAGGAGUGUGUUUUCUUGGGAUAUUCCAACAGUCACAAAGGAUAUAAAUGUUUAGAUGUUUCAGGUAGAAUUUUUAUAUCCAAAGAUGUUGUGUUUAAUGAGGUAAAAUUCUCUUAUCUUGACUUGUUUCCAUCUCACCUACUCCCCAAACUUCUCAUUAUGAGUCUGUUCCUGCUACUCUCAUAUCAAACACCCCUCAGACUCCAUCUAUUAGUUCUCAUCACUCCGAGUCCUCACACGGAAAUAAUGUGGUCCUAAAUCCCACACCCAUCACCAUUCUAUCUCCCUCUGCAUCUCAAAAUUUCUCACCUGAGUCAUCUGCUAGUGUUACUAGCUCUCAGUCUAUUAAUUCUGAGUCUCCUCCUCCUGUUCCUCAUAGAAUUCAUCCUCAAAACCGUCACACAAUGAAAACCAGAGGUAAACAUGGAAUUGUGCAGCCAAGAAUUAACCCUACACUCCUUUUGACUCAUGUUGAGCCCACUACUUAUAAAACUGCUCUUCUGGAUCCUAAGUGGCAUUUAGCAAUGCAAGAAGAAUAUAAUGCUUUACUUCAUAAUCAGACAUGGUCUCUAGUAUCUCUUCCUACAAACAAAUUGGCCAUUGGAUGUAAAUGGGUAUUCAGGGUAAAAGAAAAUCCAGAUGGCAUUGUAAACAAGUAUAAGGCACGUUUAGUGGCUAAGGGUUUUCAUCAACAAGCAGGUUUUGACUACAAUGAGACUUUUUCCCCUGUAGUCAAACUUGUUACAGUGAGGACAGUUUUGACACUUGCAGUUACUUAUAACUGGACUCUUCAGCAGUUGGAUGUGAACAAUGCAUUCCUAAAUGGAGUGCUAACUGAGGAAGUCUACAUGGUGCAGCCUCCUGGCUUUGAAUCUUCUGACAAGAACCUUGUAUGCAAACUACACAAGGCUCUCUAUGGGUUAAAACAGGCUCCCAGAGCAUGGUUUGAGAGAUUGAAAUCAUCUUUACUUAGCUUUGGGUUCAAGUCAAGCAGAUGUGAUCCUUCUUUGUUUACUUUGCACACUCAAGCUCACUGCAUUUUUAUAUUGGUUUAUGUUGAUGAUAUUAUCAUCACUGGAAACUCAAAACUGGCUAUUCAGAAUCUAGUUCAUCAGCUCAAUUCUGAGUUCUCCCUUAAAGAUUUGGGUAUACUAGAUUAUUUUCUCGGCAUAGAGGUGCAUCACUCACCAUCUGGCUCUUUACUUCUUUCUCAAACCAAAUAUAUCAAGGACCUUCUUCAGAAAGCUAACAUGAUUAAUGCUAAUAGCAUGCCUUCACCAAUGGCAUCUAGUACAAAAUUGUCUAAAUUUGGUUCAAGUACAGUCUCAGAUCCUACAUUUUUCAGGUCAAUUGUUGGUGCAUUGCAAUAUGCAACCAUAACAAGACCUGAAAUAUCCUACUCUGUGAACAAAGUUUGCCAGUUUUUAUCAAAUCCCCUUGAAGAUCACUGGAAGGCAGUCAAGAGGAUACUUAGAUAUCUGCAGGGUACUUUACACCAUGGGUUAAUGCUUACACCUGCCAGCUCUACUGAACCUAUUGCAAUCACCGGAUUUUGUGAUGCUGACUGGGCUUCAGAUCCUGAUGACAGAAGAAGCACAUCAGGAGCCUGCAUAUUUCUGGGCCCCAAUCUAGUUUCCUGGUGGGCAAGGAAACAGACCCUUGUAGCUAGAUCUAGUGCAGAGGCUGAAUAUAGAAGCCUUGCACAAGCUUCGGCUGAGAUUAUUUGGAUCCAAUCUCUUCUCAAUGAAUUGCAAAUUAAGAGUAAAAUUCCUCAUGUCUAUUGUGAUAAUCUCAGUGCAGUUUCUCUUGCUCACAACCCAGUCCUGCACUCAAGAACCAAGCACAUGGAAUUGGAUAUUUUCUUUGUGAGAGAAAAGGUUAUAAGGAAGGAACUGAAUGUCUCGCAUGUGCCUGCUCAAGACCAGUGGGCAGAUGUCUUGACUAAGCCUCUGUCCACUGCCAGAUUCCUUUAUCUUAGAGACAAACCGAGGGUUUGUGACACCCUCCGUUUGAAGGGGGACUGUUAGAAUAAUUAAUCAAGUACUUAGUGGAGAUAUUGAAAAGUUGUAACUAUUUAGUUUUAACUCCACUAGUCAUUGUAUUGAUUGUAUUGAUUAAUCUUCCUUAUUAAUUAGGGGUUAACUAGGAGACUCCUACCUAUAUAAAUGUACACUCUCACCGCAUAAUAAACAUAUUUUCAGUUCUAAUAAGUAUUACCUCAAACUGCUAUUUGAUCGUAACAUCAUAUUUCUCAGGGAAAGGCUUGUUACAUUUGAAGACACUUCAGAUCUUCUAUUGAACUGAAGGCUUUCCUCUUUCUCAGCACUGUAAGAGGGGACAAAGUAAACCAAUACCAAUCAAUUGACAACUCUAGUAGCUGCAAUAACAGCUAUAAUGAUAGAAGCCUAAUGGCUUUGUACCAAUAAUCUCACAAUUCACUUCCUAUCGAGAAUACAGGAAGGUUAUUGUUUAUCUGAUGUUCAGUGUAAGAUCAACUUGACAAUUGCAUGGUAAAUGUGUCAUUAGAAAUUGAAAUCAAAAGUAGAAAGCAAAAGGAUUUGUGAAACUUUUAUGCAUUAUUCAUAAGCUUGUCAAGGUAGUUUAUGAAAAUAAAGCUUAAGAAGAUAUAAUUUUCUUUAGUGAGAAUUUAUGAAUAAACAAAAGCUUAUUUCUUUGCAUAAGCUAUUUUUCAUAAGCUCAAAACGGGCCCUAAGUGGGGUCGGCUACAUGGAUCAAAUCCAAACCGGCCAUAAAUUUCUAUCAUAAACCAUGUUUCGGUCCAACUCAUUAAUUUGUAGCAUAAUGUCACAUGCAUCUACAUUAAUCAACAAGAGAGCUUGAUUGCAGGAAUAGAAUAACUAUGUUUUUUAGGAGGAAUACUAUGUUUUUUAGAAAGUUUGAGAGUAACAGAAAUUGUAUUAAUUAUUUCAAUGAGUUACACUGUAAGGGGCUGUAGUAUUUAUACCUGAGUUAGUUAGGUAGUUACAACCCUGUAACUAACUCAGCGCAUAUUUAGGAAAAUGGAACUAACUGCCUAACUGACUCUGAAGCUUCAAUAGGAAGCAAUUGCAAUGAACUAAAAGCUAGUUGUUAGAAGAAGCUCUGAUACCAUGUUGAAACUAGAGAAUUUGAGAGAAACAAGUUGUAUUAAUUGUUAAAAUGAGUUACACUGUAAGGGACAGUAGUUUUUAUACCUGAGUCAGUUAGUUACAACCCUCUAACUAACUCAUGCAUAUUUAGGGAAACAGAACUAAGAGUCUAACUAACUCUGAAGUUUCUAGAGGAAUCUAACUAACUCUGAAGCUUCUAGAGGAAGCCAUUACAAUGAACUUAAAGGUAUCUGUUUUAAGACAACUCUAACAAACUACAACAGUAUUGUACAAUUGAACUUAGGGGGACAAAAAUCGAACUGAAGAGGAACAUAACUACAGUAAGCCGAAGCAACAAUGUCAACAGUUUUCAAACCCGUUAGGAACUAACCUCUCUGAAACUCCAAACAGAGGACUGUUUGGUUCUAAUGGCGAAUCACAAGAAUCAUUUUCUGCUGAAUCACUUUCUCCUGCUGCGGAUAUAUGACUCAUAAAAACUGCCUUGGUUGAUUUUGGUAACAAUUGACCCGGAAAUCUCAUAAGGUCAACCAGCAUUUCCACUGAAUUUAAUUCAACUAUCACAGACAUAUGCUUGUAUGAAUCUACACAUUCGACAGCCCCGUCAUUGGGCAAGCCCUGUUAAAGAAAAUCAUGGUACAACUUACAAGACAUACUCUUGGAAAGUUAUAUAAUAAUGAUGAUGAACAAAAUUGAACAACAACAACAAAUAGCUCCCUUAUCUGCCUAGGUGAAAAGAGAGAAGUAAACCAAUAAACAAGAUUAAAAAAAUUCUAAUAAAUCUUUUGACAAACGCAUAGUAAAUAUGUAACUAUAUUGAAACAAUAGCAAACAAGCAGGCAAGAGUAUGCUCAGUAUUGCACAGAAAUUAAGUCUACCAACAGAAAUCAGAGCUUACCACCAUGAGCCUGCUUUCAAGACCCACAGUAUCAGCUAAUACUUUAAAUAAGAUAGCUCGAGGACGACAUGAACCGUGCUUUAUUUGCCCCAGCAUCUGAACACCACGAUUCUCAAGAAUAUGAGAGGUUUCAUCAAACGCAGCUUUUGCUGGACUUUCCACACUGGGUCGCUUAUAAAAAUCAGAAACCUGUCCAAAAAUAGAGGUCAAAGUAAAUGCAAAUCAUCUUUAAAUUAGUUUAGAAAAUAAACUAUAUAAUAGAUGGAGGCAAUUAAAAGGUUAUCAUACAAAUUAUCUACCCCCUGUAAUUCCCACCAACAGACUUGGCACUAAUAAUUACAAUGAAAUGAUUUCUUCAAAUCAAAAUUGUAGCUGGCUAAACUCCGAAAGCAAAGAAAUAACACAGCCCAGUCAAAAAAAUCUAAAAUAAAAAUGUUCUGGAAAAUUCUAAUGCAAUGACUAUUUGGGAAAUUAUUUGACAGCAUAAUUAGUUAAAUGCAGUAUUAACAACAAUCAGUUGGAAUACUUGAACAAGAAACAUGAGCUGCACAAUAAAAUAUAGUAAAUACAUACCAAUCCAGCUAUCUUCUUAAUUAUUGCAGCUGGAUUUGAAUUUAAUCCUUUAACUAAUGCCACAAUCAGUUGCUUCAACAUGGAUAGCUUUUUAUCUUUCUCUACAUCCACGAGAAUGAUAUCAGCCCUAUAACCCUCUCCACCCAAAGCAUGAAGUUCAUCCAAGCUAGGAAUACUAUCAAAAAGCUCCUUGAGUCUUGUCUCCUACACAUUAGCAGAGAUUAAUUAGUGAAGAUACAACAAGAUGGAAUAAUCAUUAUAGUCACACAUCAAGAGCCAGAACACUAGUCACCACCAACAAACUCAAACAACACAUGAUAUGAUCUAUGAAUGAGUUAGAGGUUAUUGAACAGCAUUGUAAAACUCUAGUAAAAAUGGCUGGACAGCAGAAAAAUCACUUUACAAACUAGAUAAACUUAACAAAGCAUGCUGAAAUAUGAUCAACUUCCAUCAAGAACCUUCAUCUGAUUGACAAUGUCAUUGUUAUUGUGGCCCAUAUUCUCAAAAAUUGCAGAAUGAUGCUUCCACAAAAAAUAUACUUUGUGACAAGAGCCAAAUUCCAGAAUAUAUAUAAUUUCUUGUUCGUUGGAAAUUAUGUUAUCCUUAAUAAACCAAGCACAAGACUAAUUUUUAACAAGUCAAGCCUGAGCUUUUAGUUAAACUCGUUUAAAUAAAUGAGACAAGUCCAAGUCAUUCAUUUUUUUUCAUUUAAGUACUCGGCUAGACUCGUUUACACUUUACAACCCCUAUCUAUAUUCACAAAACCACUGUUCUUAUAAGACUUAUACACAGACGGGGGAAAAUAACUUUGGUUUUUCUUAAUUUGGUUAAAAAUAAUUGUGGAGUCUUGUUUUUACUAUCAAUAUGGCCUAAGUGGUGCUUAUAAAGUUUGGACAAUCCCCGCCUUUCAAGUCAGUUUUAUGAGGAUGACUUAGGCUUAAAGCCCAAUUCUAAGUUGUUGACAGAGUUCAUCUUAAUUAUGCUAUUAAACCAAGAUUUCUAUUACUCAACCUAAAUUUGUUCAUGCUCUAGAUGUGCAAUUCUGUGAGUGGAAGGGGGGUUGAGAUCCCUGGUAUUCCACGUGCAUUAAUACAAGCUUCAAAUGUUUAGUCCUGAGCGUGGAUGUGUAGAAAGUUUCCAAUUGAUUAGAGAUAUGACAUAGACAAUGGUUAUAAGGUUUGAGCAAUCCUCACCUUACAAGCCGGUUUCGUGGGGAUGAGCUAGGCCUAAAGCCCAAAUUCUAAGACGAAUUGUUAAAUAAAAUAACUUCCAACUGGACCUAAGCACCAUCUAAUAGCUUAAGCGUUUAGGUGAGAUGGCCCUUGACAAGUAUUAUUUAUAGAGGACAAAGAAGAUCCCUUUACGGUUUUGUCAUUUUGACAUUAUAGCUAGUUUUGAAAUAGUUGCUGGUGAGGCUGUGAGGGGUCUAUGAACCCUCUCAGUUGUAGAAAAAUAUUUAAGUUAUGUUAGAACAUAUUUAGAUUAGCUUUAGAUUGUUUCGGUAUAUAUUAUGAAAUCAAUUGAACAUCUAAUUGAGAAAGAAAUCUAAGGAGGUGUUUCUUAACUUCGUUAUAAUUAGUGAGUUUGGGCUUUGUAAUAGUAAUACUAAACUAAUACUUGGACCAUCGGGUUAAUCUUUGACACCAAAUCGUAAUGCACAGCACAAUAUUAAUUUAAAUAGACAUUUGCACUGCAAUAAGAAGGUAAUAUAUAAAUCAAUCCUCACCGGAAUGAGUGAAUAAAAACCAUUUGGUAUUGGUUCUGAAAGCAUUCCAGUGCGCCAGAGAAUUUGUGAUGCUCUCAGAGGCGACAAAACAUCUUUGUCAGAGUGUCUAGGAGAUUCGUUAUUAUUUACUGUCUGGUCUUGAGAAUCUAAAGCGACAGAUCCAAAUUUUUCAACAAAAUCCGAAGGCCACCAUGAUAUGUUAGCAUUUGAUGGCCCUUGCUCUGUCGACCCUGCAUCUUCUCGUGUCUCCUCCAUGUUCUUAUAUAUUUGGAAUGACAAACCAUUUCGCCACGCUUGUCAACCCAUAAGAAACAUAUUCAAACUAAAGGAAGUUCUUAAUGUACAAAUUAUUGAAAAAUAUAUGCUUUAGUAGACCCAACUGUUUCAGGCUGGAGGCCAUGUAACCUGCAUAACAAAACAAUAAGGUAUUAUAGCAUAUUGGAAUGAAAAAACAAAACCAGCAAUGUAAAGGGAUGAAAAUAUUCAAAAAACAUUAAAUAAUGUGAAACUGAUGCCUUCACUACCUCCCAGUAAAAUCACCCAAAAAAAAUGAAAAUAUGUUAAAAUUGUCCAAAUCAUUUGUACCACAAGUGUGAGUCUCUCUGUGCAUUGUGCAAGUUGUUUCAUUUCCAACAUAUCAUAUUCAUUGGUAUGCCACCUAAUAACUCAGAAUACUAAACCUGUAUAGAUGAAAUUGGGGGCCUAACUCAUCCUCACAAAACCGGAUUGUAAGGCGAGGAGUGCCUCCUCUUUAUAAACUCUUAUCAAGAGUUCUAUAUAGCCGAUGUGGGACUAAAGCCAACACAAGGCAACUAGGGGCAGAUUGCAAUAAAGGCAGGAUUACCAACACACUCCCUCACGCUCGGAGCGGGAUUUCCAACAAGAUGUAUUUAAUCAUCAGUCUCAAAUGGAAAUAGAGCUUUGUGUGAAAUUAAAGCUCACUAUCAAGACCUUCUAUAGACCAUUUCUGCUCAACACUUUCCCAUUAAUAACAAAUGCACACAAAGGAAUCAUGGCAAAGAACCCCACAUCAACGAUGCGGCUAUUGUGACACAUACACUAUGCACUAUACACACAUGAAGAAACUAGAAUGCCAAGGUUAAUGAGCAGAAACUUUUCUUUAAUAUUGGAGACGAGAUGCGCAGAGUUAUAAUGUGUAACUACGAAAUGCUCAAAUGAAAAAACUAUAAUUGUGAAUGACAAAUAACUGACAUUGACAACUUUGUGUUUAGUGUAUUAAUCCCUUAUUCGUCUUCUUUCAAGUAACUUCAUUUUGACUUGUAGUAUAUAUUCGUCAUCUUUCAAGUAACUUCAUUUUGACUUGUAGUGUAUUAAUGCAAUCGCCGAUCAUCAAUUAUCCUUACUCAAGGUCACGCUUACACUCUUCCAGUGAAUAACUUUUCAUUCCAGUCUUCAUUUUGUUCAAAUAUUAUCUCCCAUUUACAAUCUUCACCAGUCUUUAAAUAGCAGAAUUUGUAUAGAUUGUUAUUGUUCCGUGAUACGCUGUUCAGUGCAAACUAUUGUGAAAUAGCCGCUAUAUCGGCGCUGUAGCACAAUUUGCGUAGCGGAAUUUAAAUAAAUCGCUAUUGUUCCGCGAUACGCUAUUUAGUACAAAAUAUUGUGAAAUAGCACUAAUUUGAAUAAAUCACUAUUGUUCCACAAUACACUAUUUAGGACAAAAUAUUGUGAAAUAGCCGCUAUAACGGCGCCGUAGCACUAUUGCGUAGCGAAAUUUUCACAAUCCACUAUUCAAUUAGUGUUAACGCAAAUGUUAAAAACAGAAACUGCCUAAUAUAGAAGUAUCCUCUAAUAAAUCAUAACCUCUUCAGUUUGAAAGUAAAAAUCAUAACCUCUUUUGUUUCUUACAGUGCAAAAUUCAAUUCAAUGACCUAAAACUGAAAAAAAUCAUAGUUCAACCACUUCAACAAUCCUCAUCCUAAUUCCAAUUCGAUAACCGAUAAUUACAUUACAAAUUUGAAUCAAACAAGAAAAAGACAUAUUCAUAUCACGCACGGAUUCAACUGAAUUGAACUCCAUUUCACUCAAAAUCAUCAAAAUGCGAAUCAAAGAAUCAAUGUCGAGGGAUAUAGAACAAUGCUUGAAGUGAAAAUGCAAGAAAGAAGAAAGGCGAAAAUAGAAUGAUCGGAGAAGUGAAUUCACCGUGGUGCGGUAGUAGAUCAAAGCAUUUGAGUCGGAAUCUGAGUUCGCGUCAAAAACCGUUUGAAUCUGAAUAGAAACCACCGUGGAAGAGAGAGAGAGAGAGAGAGAGAGAGUGUGUUUGUGUGUUGGGUUUUGUGGAAUGAAUGAAGGAAAGAAUGAAGAGAGAAAGCGAUGUGCGUUUUGAAGGGAGUGAGUGAGUGGGUUAGGUCACGUGCGCAGUGGGAUCUUGAUCUAGGGACCUCUCCCCGACAGCCAGCUAGCAAAAGGGUUGGCUCAACAACAUCCACAACUUCUUACGCGGAAAAUUCUUCCUCAUUGGGGGAAUUAGUCACUUUAGUCCUGACUGAAAAAAAAAAAAAAAAAAAAAAAAUACUCGCUUUAGUCUCUAAAUAUAAAGAAAAUUACAAAACAGUUCUUGAAUGUAGACUUUGUUAGUCAAUUUUAGGGACUAAAGUGACUAACGGAGUCUACAUUCAGGGACUAAAUUGACUAACGGAGUAUACAUUCAGCGACUAAAUUGACCAACAAAGUCUACAUUCAGGGACUAUUUUGCAAUUUAUCUGCAUUCAGUGACUAAAAUGAAAAUUUCUUUCCUAUUGAGGGACUAAAGUGACUAAUAUCCCUCUAUUUAUUACACUAUUCUUCCUACCUUUUUUCCCUUCUUUAAAGGUUUAUUUGUCAAUGCUCGUGAGCUUAACUGAGUUGUUAGAUAUGUAAUUUAAAACUCGGCCACCACCAAAAGAAGGUAUGUUUGUCGUGGUAAAUGAGAUUUUUAAAUAUAACUUUUUGACUAUGAGUAAAUAUAAUAUGAUUAAAAGUUAUUUUGUUUUGGAAUCAAACUUGAAUUCGGCUAAACAAUUUGUAAACUCAUUAAUCACUUAAAUUUAAUCUUUAAGUUUUAUGGUGUGGAUUUUUAUUGUUGAUUUUAUUUGAUUCAAUGUAUAAACUCUAAAUAUAUGAACAAAUAUGUGACCAUUAAUGUUCAUCAAAUCUAUCUAUCUAUUGUAUAUAAGAGAAAGUAAUCUUAUGUGUUUCAAUAAAAAUUAAUGGAUUUUGUAAACAAAAAUAAAUAUUUUAUUCGGGUAUAUAUAUAUAUAUAGCAUUUCAAAUAAGAGCAUUUUUUAAAUGAGAGGAGUAAAUAACAGCCAUUAGAUUUGAUUCAACGGUUGAGAUCAUAUUUUCCUUAAAAAUUGCACCAUGCAUCACUUUUUCUCUUCUACGCGCGUGUUGUUCAAUACUGCCUCUUCCUUCUCUCUUCUUCCUUUUAUUUUUCUUCUUUCAAUCGCACAAGUUCUUCCCUCCAAAAAAAGUUCUUCCCCUUUUUGCUGUUGGCAGAACCUACUUCAUCGCAACAAAUAGGAGUAUCGAUUGAAGUAAAAAAAGAACAUAUAUGGUUAUUAUUCAUAUAAAAUUUUAUGAUGCACAAAAGUAAUUUUCAGCUUCAUUGCCGCCGCCUUCAUACCUCUCAUUAUACCCACUCUUAUUUUGAGAAAAUUUGUGCAGACUCCUUAUAUUUCUUUCCAAGAUACGGGUGUGAAUCAUUGAAAGAAGAUUAAUUAAUUAAUUGCUUUUGUUAAUCGCUGGAAUGUUUACUGUUGAAGUGGAUGUCCUUAAAAACUCCUCUAAUUAAUUAAGAGCUGGAAUGUUUGAUAUUAUUAGUAAGAGAAUAUUAAUUAAUUAAUCGCAUCCUUUUGUUAUAACAAUUGGAAAUUUGGAUCUUUUUUCAUGGUGGAUUGAUUUUGUGCAAAUAACCAUAACUAUGUUCCAUUUUUUACUUUAAUGAAUACUUCUAUUUGAUGUGAUGAAGGGACGAAUUCUGCGAACAAAAAGAAGAAAGAGGAGGGACAGAAGGAAGAAGGAUGAAAUGAGAGAGAGAUCAAAAUCGCAGCCUGUAAAAGGAAAGGGUUGAUUUUGAAGGCCAUAAUGAAGGAGAAGAUGAUAGAUUUGAAGUUGGUAAUAAUAUUGAAGUAAAUGCAACACCAACUCUUUCAAUGUUGAUACUCAUCACCCAAAGGCUUCAAAGAUACUUGAGGUAAUCAGGCAGCCUCCCUUUCUUCAUUGGAUCAAAUGCAACACUGAUGGAACAUCUAUUGGAAGUCCUAGCCCCUCAACUUGUGCGAAAUUCAAGAGAAGAAAGUCUUGAUUGUUUUGCUUUUAAUAUGGGAAACUUAAAUGCUCUAUUUGCUGAAAUCAUGGGAGUAAUUCUUGCUAUAAAAGCUGCUUUUGAUAGAAACUGACAAAUAUUUAGAUAUGACUCAAAGCUAGCCACUUUACCAGUCAAAUCCCCAUUGAUUGUUCCUUGGCAACUUAGAAAUAAGUGGCUAAAAUGUAAGAUCAAAAUGAAUACAGUGAAUUGUUUUAUAUCUCAUAUUUACAAGGAAGGAAACCUUUGUGGAGAUAAAAUUGUCUCCGCAGGUUUAUCUUUGAAUGAACUUACUUGAUGGAACACUACUCCGAUUGUAAUUAGAGAGGACCUUGUCCAGAAUAGACCAGGUCUACCUUUCUAUAGGUUUUGCUAACUCUUUUAUGAGGGUUUGGUUUGGUCCCAUAUCUUUCGUAUACCACUCUUCCUUUAUAUACCACUCUUCCUUUAUUUAUUUUAGGGUUAAAUAUGUUUUUAAUCCUUACAUUUUGCGUCUCUUGAAAGAAUAGUCUUUACAUUUCAUUAAAUGUUAUCAAAAUUAAUCUCGCGGUUAAUUCUCGAAUGAAAUGCUGAUGCGGCAGUUAGUGGAUCUCAAUUAUUUAAUGUUAAAUAUAUUUUUGGUCCCUACACGAGACAUGUUUUACCCUUAAAAUGGGAUGUGGCAGAAGGAUAGCAUGGGUUUAAAUUGUUUUUCUCCAUUCCUUCCUUCAAAAAAAUUGUUUUUUCCACAACAUCUUUUUUUUCUUAUAUUAAGAAGGAUUUUGUGGACACCACUCUUAUGCCAGAACCCAAUAACAAUUUGACAAAAUCUCACAUUAAUUUUUUCUUAUAGUGAUUUCUUAUUCAUUUCCUUCUCACAUUGUUUUUUUGUUUUUAUUUUCUCGCCACUCUAUGUAAAUGCCAAAGAUAUUCUCUCUCUUUACCUUUCAAUUUCAUCGUCCGUUUUUCUCUUUUAGCAUUGUUACAGCAUCAAGCUUGGAUUGUAACUUGUAAGCAUAUUUCAACUGUAACUAAUUUUUUUUUCUUUCUUUCGCAUUUUUGUUUUCAUACAACAUGCAAUGUUAGAGACUUCGAGCUAAUUAAUUAAUCGAAUGCCUAUAUUAUUUAUAUAUGUUGAAAUGCUUACCCCCCUGUUUAUUUACACUGUCAUUGUACUUGUUUAUUGUUUCAUUUUGCGUCUGGAACCGUAAUGUAGCAUUACUUGGUGAUUCAUUUUGACCUAGAAAUUUUUCAAUUGAACAAGCUUCUUGUUUUUUUUAUUUUUUUAAUUUCCCAGGAAGUGUAAAUUACUUGAAUGAUGAAUUUUGAAGCUUCUGAUAAGCCAAAGUUUUGUGGUAAUGGUGACGAUGAAGGUAGGGAAGCUGUUUCUUGUGAACACUUUGAAUCUGAAGAUGAUGAUGUUCCUUUGUUACCGAGGUUUACCCGGAUUUCGAGUUUGGUAAAAUAUGAUGUUUCUGUUAAGAAGAGGGAUUUUGAGUUUCAUGACAACAAUUCCUUGCCUAUUUCUGUUAAGAAAUCAAAGGUGUCACUAUAUCAUGAUCACGACAAUGAUGAAGAUGAUAUUCCUUUGUUGGAUUUAAUUAAAAGGCCAAGCAAAUCAACUGAUAAAUCAUUUUCCUCGCUGAAGAAAGGCCUUGCAUUGUUAGAAAACUCAUUUCAGGAAGGCAAUAAGAAGACGAAAUUAGAAGAGAAUAGAUUGCAGUCCAUAAAGAUAGAUAUUCAGGAGUGCCGCAAAGAGCUUGAAAAUAAGAAAAAGGAAAUUAGUUGUUUUAGAGGAAUUUUCGAAGCUCAUGAGAAAAUGCAGGGAAAAAUUGAAGAAUGUAUUAAGGAUUUUGUAGUGAAGGAAGGGCAACUCUAUUUCAUGGAUGACUUGAUUGGAGAGCGCAAGCUAGAGCUCAAAACGAAGGAGAUGGAACUUAAUCAAGUCAAGGGCAACAUUUCAAAAGAAAUAGAACUUCGUCGAGUCAUUGAUAACAUUGAUAAGGACCGUGAAAGGAAGGAAGAGGAACUCAAGGCUCUUUCCCAAAAAAUUGCUGAAUUUACUUUGGAACUUAAGGCCAAAGAGAUAGAGCUUGAUGCAAUGAACAGAUUAAUUGGUGGGCAAGCAGAAAAAUUAGAGUCCAAAAGGAAGAAGUUGCUAAAGCUAACAUCAGAAAAGGAGAAUGGUCGUGCUCAAAUAAAGGAAUUCGAGUCAAUAAAGAAGCAACUUGAAGGUCAGGUCAAGGAACUUGAGUCAAAAGAGAAGCAAUGUGAUGAACAGGUGGAGGCGUUGAUGUCAAGAGAGAAGCAGCUUGAAGGACAUAUGAAGGAGUUUGAAUCUAAGAUGCAGGAACUUGAAGGUCGUACGACGCAGCUUGAAUCAAAAGAGAAGCAAGUUGAAGGACGGGCAAUGGAGCUAAAGUUAAAAGAAAUGCAAUUUGAAGGCCGGGAGAAGGAGUUUAAAUUAAAAGAGGAGAAGUUUGAAGGCCUAACGAAGGAGAUGUUAUUUAAAAAGGAGCACUUUGAAAACCAAUUGAAUGUGUUAGAGUCAAUAGAUAACCAACUUGUAUGCCAAGUAAAGGAGUUUGAAUCAAAACAGAAGGAAUUUGAAUUCCAAAAGAAGGAGUUGAUAUUAAAACAAAAACAUUUCGAAAGCCGGAUAAAGAAGCUCGAGUCAGAAGAGAAGAAACAUGAAAGUCGGUUGAAGGAGCAUGAAUCAAAAGAAAGAGAGUUUGAAGGCCAAGUGACGGAGCUGGAAUCUAAAAAGAAGCAUUUUGAAAGCCAUGUGGAGGAGCUCACAUCAAAUCUGUGGCAAUUGAAAGGACAGGUUAAGGAACUUGAAUCCAAAGAGAAACAGUUUGAUAGCCGGGUGAAAGCAUUUGAAUCAAAAGAGGAUGAAUUUGAAGGCCGAGCGAAGGAGCAUGAAUCAAAAGAGAGAGAAUUUGAAAUUCAAGCGAAGGAGCUGGAAUCUAAAAAGAAGCAUUUUGAAAGCCAAGUGGAGGAGUUCACAUCAAAACUGUGGCAAUUGAAAGGACAAGUUAAGGAACUUGAGUACAAAGAGAAGCAAUUUGAUAGCAGGGUGAAAGCGUUUGAAUCAAAAGAGGUUGAAUUUAAAGAUCGAGUGAGGGAGUUUGAAGUGAAGCAGUUGGAAGUGCAACUGAAGGAGCUAAAGUCAAAGGAGAAUCAAUUUGAAGGAGAAGUGAAGGAUGUUGAGUCAAUGCAGAAUGAAUUUGAUGGAGAACUGAAGAAGCUUGAGUUAAGAGAGGAUCAAUAUGAAGCAUUACUAAAAUCAUUUGACGAGGAAAUUAAAUCAGGUAAACGAUCUUCAUCAUCUGGUUUAUUAAGACAAUUCCAUUUCAACUUUAUCUUUUAAUAUCUUAGGUUUUAUUCUUGUCAAAUUGGUUUGUUUAUAAUACUAUACAACAUAAGAUUGAUUAGUAGAUUAAUGUAGUCUAAACUUUCAAUUAUAUUUUAAACACUGUUAAUAGGCAUAUGAUAUGACUGAGUUUCAAGUUUUUUUGUUUUUGUUUUUGAGAGGACUGAGUUUCAAGGUUCAAUACCCUGACAAACUAUGGAGGCAUUUAAUAGUCCUUUAGUGCAACCAUUUCUGUUAUUGUCUAUUCUUUGAUCUUAUGCAACUUCUGGUGAUUCAGUUGCGGUGCUAUGAUGAUAUUGACUGUUACUGUUAGUAUCAACUGAUUUCUGUUUACCCAGGCAUUUAAAUGUGUGUGUGUGUGUUUCUAUAGUCACCUUGAUUUACUCAUGUUUCUAUAAAAUGGGAACUUAAAAUUUAAAUAUAUAUCAGCUAAAUAUGCAGUUACAUGUUACACAGAUGAUCAAUCAACUCCUACCAUUGAUGGAAGAAGUUUGCAGUUGCUCCCAAGUGACGAAACUGAAAUUCUAGAUAAUCUGCAAGGAUCAUCAGAUCCAUCAAAAGUUGUUUUGGAUAUAAUACAGAAUCCCAUUAUUCAAAAGUAUAAGAUGGGAGACAAUGCUGUAAUUAUUGAUGAUAGAGACAUUCUUCUGCUCAAACAACUGAUGAGAAUCAAACCACAUAUUAAACCUCGUGUAAGAGAAGAAGCAAUGAAGCUAGCACUUAAUUUGAAAUCUAACAUAAGUGAAAAUACCGAAAAUUUGGUGGCAGUUCUGGGUUUUCUACUCCUUGUGUCAAUUUAUGGAUUGGCUCCUUCUUUCGAUGAAGAUGAAGUUUUAAAGCUUUUCGAGUUUGCUGCUCAGGACAAGAUAGCUGUAGAGCUGUUUGGAACUCUGGGUUUUGCCGAUAAAGCUUCUGGUAUGUUAGUUUAGAAAUGUUUUGUUUCAGAUACCAGCUAUUAUACUUAUUUUUUUCUCACUUUAAAUUUCAAGUGCAGGUUACACGUGUAUUCAUCAAACGUGUAAAUAUCCUAGAGACUCUGCAUGAUAUAUAAUACAAAUUACUAAGAUUAAGAUAUUAUCUGUUGGUAGGAAGCUGAACUGAUAUGUAAUUGGCUUCUUACAAUUGAUGCUUGGAAAAUGAAAUAGACUUCAAUUAAUAUCUCUUUCUUUAUCUAUGAAGCACCAACAUAGAUUUGGUGUCCGUGUAGAGUCUCGGGUAAGGCGUGUCCCCGUGUCCGACAUGCGUCAGUGUCCGUGUAGAGUCUUGGCUUCAUAGCUCUUUAGUCUUUAUAUGUAUCUGUUCUAUUUCUUAAAAUGUUUGAGGUGUUCUCUUUUCUUAUUAAUUCUGGGAUAUUAUUAUUCAGCCCAGUCUGCUUAGUUUUGGUUAAUUGGGACUGACUUGAUGGCAUAACUAGUUAGUUUUGUUGAAGUGAAAUUUUGGUGCACCUUGCAGAUUUUGUUCAGAAACUUAUCAUGAAGAAACAAAAUAUUGAAGCUGCUAGAUUCAUUCGUGCUUAUAUAAUGCCAACAAGAAUCAAACAAACGAUCUCUUGCAACCAAGAAAACCGUCUCCAUUGAAAUCAAGGUUAUUUUAUCUUUAUUCUAUUUCUAUUUUAUGAAAUAUCCCAUCUUCAUGCACCUGCAUGUUGGUUGUAAAUUAAUACGUGGACUGUGAAAUCAGGACCAUCCUCCUAAUGUUCAAUGUGCAAAUGAAUUAGCAAGAAUCUCCCUCUCUUUAUUGAUCCAUGCAAAAUGUCUGUUAUUGUUAGAAAGAAUGAGAAGAUUCUCAAACAGGGUUAUCUCAAUUUUGUUGGUCCGCGUCCUUUCUUUUUCUUGUAUUUUGCAUUUUUUAAUGCAUAUAUAUUUCUCGAAGGCUUAAGUAUGAUAUGCAGUAAAGUUUUACUAUAGUAUACUACAAUUGAAUUAACUUACUUUUAGAACACAUAAGUAAAAGCAUUUUGAAACUGUUACCUCAGAAUGGAUGAAUUCUGUGCUUUGGAAAUUAACUCAGAAUAGACUCAAAACAUGUUUAAACAAUUUUUACGUUGGAUUAUUGGUAGGGAGCCCCCAACUGUGUGUUUAAACAGUAAAACUAACAAACCCUCUUGAAUUUUAAGUUGAGUCGAACUGUAAAAUGAACUUGGCCUCAAUUUGCUGUGAAACUCGUUUUGUACGCUGUAAGAUGAUGCAUGUAAUUUUAGCGGUGUUUUCUUUUACCAGACAUUUGCAGAAAGAAAUAGGAUCUUUUAUGUGAUGGAAAAGACAAAUUUUCGAAGUUAAAUGAUGAAUCUUCUUAUUAGUACUUUCUUGAAUUGCAAUUGUGCAGAGAGAAUACCAUUAUAUGUGUUUGGAAAUCCUAUACAUUCUGCACUAGAAAUUGAAUGUAAUAAGAGAAUCUUACGAAGUUAUUAAAAUAUAAGUUUAAUUUUACAUGUUAAUUUUAGUCCAUAAGUGUAUGUUUGGAUUCAUAGACUGCAGUGAGUUUGAUAAAAUUAAGGUGAGCCAUGAUGAUUUUUUAAAAGCUACACUUUGGGGUAGUGAAUUUCGUCAAAUCCACUGUAAUAUCAACAAGAGGAGUUUAUGAGUCUGUGGGGAUAGUGAAUAAAUUAGAGAUAAUCUAAAUAAACAUUCACACGUCAACAACGAGGGUGUUUAUGAGUGAGGAUUAAAAUCAUGAAUUAAUAAAAGUUACUAACUAAAAUGCUCUAAAAUAUAAAGAAAUAGCAGGAAUUUUAAUCACAAAACCAAGGAAGUUGAUCUUUUGUUGGGUAGUGUUAAGUUAACGUCUUUUUUAUUUAUGGUUGAAAGCGAACAAGCUUACUUCCGCUUUUAGUUACACUGACCGGUGGCGGGACCCUCUUUUAUGUAUGGGUGUUUGAGAUUAGCUUUCCUCACAUUUGUUUCUUUUGUUGUGCUUUCCGUUGGCAUUAGACACUUAUCUUUGUAACUUUGUCGAGAGGUUCUCUCUGCACACCUUGUGCGAGAUGAAUCUCUCUUGGUGUUUAAUAUAAUCUCAUUUUGAUUUCUUCAAAAAAAAAAAAAAAACAUCAAAAGUGUAUAUAAUUAAGAUUUCUUCGAUUCCUUAUGACUGAUAUAUUUUAAAGCAUUCUAAAAAUUUUAACUUUUAAGUAGGAAAUCUGAAGUUCGAACGUUAACCCUACAUAUUUCAAUGUAUUUUUUGAGGCGGCAUAUUUCAACUUAUUUCCGCCGGUGUUAAUUAUAACCAAAUUUUUAUUUUUAGGCUCAUUCAAUAAAUGAUUUAUGUAAUCUCAAAUAUAAAUCAUGCACAUUAUUUAUUCAAUAAAUUUAAAAAGUAAAAAAUUGUUUAUAAUUAAGAUCGAAAAGAGUAUUGUCUUUGCCUCCAAAUAAUUCUAAUUUAAGCAUAUGUUAAUUGCUUUGUGCGUCGGUUUCUUCUCCUUUCAUAUCAAUAUUAUUAUUUUUAAUUAGCAAGAGACCUUAGGCUAACUACAAACUCAUCAUUAUCGAACAUUGCUUAACUACAAGUUAUCCAUUAGAUGUUGAUUUAGUAUAUUCCUAAUUUUACCAUCAAGAAAUUAAAUAAAAUACCAAACUUACAAAUUAAAGAGAGAGGGAAAUAAAAAAAAGGGAUAUAAUGGACAAAAACAUACUCUCAAUGGGUUAAGCUCUUGUUCAUUUAUCAAAAUAUAAAUGGAGAAUGCAAUCUAGUGAAAUAUAGACACCACACCAUGGUAGAUAAUGACUUCUAUUAUUAAGCAAGUCUCACCAAUUAUUAACUAGCACAUAGCACAUGUUAAGAAAUUUAAAAUAAUAAGUUUGUAUUGGAAGUUAUGUAUUUCAUAUUAAAUAUAUAAUUUUUUAAUAAAUAUCGUAUUUAUUUUGUAUUAUAUAUAUAUAUAUAUAUUUUUUGACAAGGUAUUAUAUAUAAUAUAUUAAAUGCAUAUUAGUGGAUAAUAUUAUUUUGUAAGAAAAGAAAGAAACUAUCUUUUUUGUACUUUCACGAAGACAUUUUUUUGAAAGGAGGAAGAAUUAUUAUUAUUUUUUUAGAAAAGCAUAAAGAAAUUAUAUGUUCGAUAGAUAAUAAUGUUGUUGUCAAACAAAUAUGAAGUAAUCUACAUAAUUUAAUAAAAGAAAUUACAUUCUUCAAAUUUUAUUUUAUUUUACAUAAAUACUUUUUUAAAAAAAAUAUUAAUCGAGACGUGCAAAUACUCGCGAAUAUUUCAACACCAACUAAAUACCCACAUAUGGAUAGGACAUGAAUAUCAUUUUUAUCAAAUUAGGGUAACAGAUUUACUCAUGGUCACCAAAAUCAACAGGUAACGGUAUCAAUUAUCAUGGCUUUCUCCAUCUUCUUCAAUAUCACAUGAUAUCACAGAAAUGUCUUCAAUCACCGAAUGGAAACGGUUAAAUAUAAAUGCUAAACUAAAAUAUUUCUACAUAAUUCAGAAAUCCUCUCAAAAAAAUAAUAAUUCAGAAUGUAACGUAACGUAGGAGUAGUAGUAUACAUUUUAUUUUCCUUUUUUCCAUACAAAAUUCAAUGCUACAAUAAAUAAACAACAGUCCAAAUAUUAAACCCACCUCUGCAACCAAGCAAGCAAUAAACACAAACGUAUUAAAUAGUUUAUUCUCAAAACUAAUUCCUUUCUUUCUUUGUCUUCUUUCUUUCUUUCAUUUUCUUGUACAAGAAAAUAAAUUGCUUCUAUAUACUCCUUUCUCCGGGUGCUCUAGAUAAAGAAAGCUAGCUGAUUCCUGGUUCAACAUUUUCUAAAGGUUCUUUUUCUUCAACUCUUUCUUUCUGUGAAUUCUACUAUAUUCUAAUGCCAUGAUCAUAACUUUCUUUGUCUCUUUUCCUGUUAAAUGAAUGUAGCUCUAUCUAACAAAACUGGUAAUUUGCAUUUCUUUGAUGUUCAUGCAUGCAUGGCUAAAUUAGAAUACUGUAAGUGUGGAUUAAUAAUCUUGAAAUAUCUAGCAUUUUUUCUUGGAACAUUUAUUAUUUAUUCUUGACUUCUUGAUUGGUUAUUAUCAUUGUUAUAUUUGAUUCAUUAUAGGUAUAAGAUUAAAAAAUGCAUGAUGAUAAAUUUGUGUCAUAUCAAUCAAUUUUCUAAUGUGGAUCGACUAUCUAUUGAUCAAGCAGAUUACUUGGCCUCUGCUGGUUUUCUUUGAUUUUCAUGUUUGCAUAUUCACUUUUAUUUACGAGAAACUAAAGUGAUUCUAGGAACAUAAAAUUGAUUUUGAUAUGUUUUUGUUUUGUUGAGUAGAAUUGAUUUUGGCUUUAAAAUUUAGUGUAUUUUUGGAAUCAUGAGGAGUUUGACACCGUGGGUUUGUUGAAACUUUAAACUGAAACUUUAAAGUGUAACUUUAGCCAAAAUCAUGGUGGCUCACCAUCAUUCCAUCAAACCAAACAUGCACUAACUUUAACUUGAAAUUGUGAUUUGGAAUUUUUAAAUUCAAACAUGAUUUAUAGUCUCGAUUUUAUUCAAACAUAGAUCACUUUAUAGUCAAUUUAACUGUUCAUUUCACAUUUCAAUUUAUUGUAGAACCGAACAUGAUUUUGGCUAAAGUUGAUUUUGACAUGUUUUUGUUUUGUUGAGUAGAAUAGAUUUUGGCUUCAAAAUUAAGUGCAUGUUUGAAAUCACGGGGAGUUUGACGAAAUCACAGCGGUACCAUGAUUUUAUUGUUCAUUUCAUUUCACUUUAAAGUUGAUUUUGACAUGUUUUUGUUUUGUUGAGUAGAAUUGAUUUUGGCUUCAAAAUUAAGUGCAUGUUUGAAAUUACGGGGAGUUUGACGAAAUCACGGCUGUACCAUGAUUUUGUUAAACUCAUCGUCAAUCCAAACAUGUACUAACUCUAACUUGAAAUUUUGAUUUGGAAUUUUUAAAUCCAAACAUGAUUUAUAGUCUCAAUUUUAUUGUUCAUUUCAUUAUUACUUGAAUGUAUCAAAAAAUUACAUCACUUUAUAAUCAAUUUUAUCGUUCAUUUCACAUUUCAAUUCAUUUGUUCAAUAUUUGUCAUAGUAGAACCAAACAGAUUCUGUUUCACUGUAAUAUGUUUAGAACUAGCAUAUGCAAUAAUGUCAGUUGAUUUUUCUUGAACAUUUUAUUGAAAAUGCUAAGUUUGAGUUUCAAUUUAUUGUUUUGCAGAAACUAAUUUCAUGUUAGUCAGAGAUUUAAUGGAAAAAAAGCAGCUAAACCUUAACCGGCCACUUUUAUCAGUAAGGAGAGUCACAUCAAAAAUAGCUUCUGAAUCAGACAACAAAAGGAAAAGUACUGAUAAUCCUCUUCCUUAUUACAAAUCAGAGUUAAAUUCAGGUCCAGUUAGAAAUGCCGGCGCUAUUCCUUUUCAAUGGGAGAAAACACCGGGAAAACCGAAAGAUAUGUCAGUUAUUGAGGAGGGAAUUGGAAGCACUGUUUCCAAUCCUCAAAAUACUGCAUGUUUGGAUAAAAAAGUAAUAAAACAUGAGAGUGAAGAAGAUGGAAUCGAGGAGAAGGUAAAUUCUGAUUCUGAUUCAGAUGACGGAGAUGAGAGUUUUCAAGAUGCUUGUGACACACUUUCGAGGACUGAAUCAUUCGUCACACGCUGCAGUAUGAGUGUAUAUGAUGAUCAUGAGGCACAAGUCAACCCCUAUGGAAGUUUCUCAGGCGAUGAAAAGGCUCGCGAUUUCAUGAUUGAUCGGUUUUUGCCUGCUGCAAAGGCAAUUAUAUCUGAAAAUUCUCAACGUGCUUCCAAGAAGCCGGUACUUAUCGGACAAGGACAAAAAAAACAGCCUUGGAAAAUUGGAAGUGCUGAAAAGUCAUCUCCUCUUAAUCAGCAUAGACCAAAAUCGUUGCGGCAUAAGGAAGGAGGCAUAUUAGAAAGUGAUGGUUCACAAAACUUUCCAACUAAUACUACAGCUUGUGGACUAUUUCCUCACUUUUGCCUUUCGAAUCCAAUGCCAGGAGUAAGAACGGAGAAUAAGGUUCAAAACAAUGCAGGCUGUAAUUCUACUGCUUCUCCAAUUGAAACUAAAAAAGAGGUACUAAUUUGCCUCUAUCUAAUUUUCUUUCACUUUUGGUUUUGGUUACAAUUUCAAUUCAUAAGCCUUUAUGUUUAUUUCAUCUCUCUUGUUCAGCAGCAUGCUAGACCUCAACUUGAAAGGGGAUGUGGCGAGCCGUUAGCCCGUGAUAGCACUCAACUUGAAACUAGCUAUGAAAGCCCUAUAGUUGAGAAAAUUCUAUAUGUUGAUUCUAUACAGAAGACAAAGUUCCAAAUGAAUCACAAAGGAGAUUUUUCGCUUGAUAAUAGCCAACGGCUGGAUGUUGUAAAUGUGAAGGCAGCAUCAGAAGCUAAAAUUUUGCAAUCUCUUGAUUUAGAACAUGCAGUGGAAGAUAAUGAUGGGAAGAUUGACUUAUAAAGUGAAUGUGGUGUGAAUUUAGGCUAUCAGGAGCUAUCUGAUGCAACAAACUUUUUUGAGAUUCCUCUUGUCCUUCCUCCCCUGAAAGCUCCAUCAGAGUCUUGGCUUAAGCGCACUUUGCCUACCAUUUCGACAAAGAACACAUCUUCAAAGUCUAAGCCUUGCUGCAAGUAUUCAUUCAUGACAGCGUCACUGUGUCCCAAGCGGGAAACAAUUGUUAAUUCUUCUAAUAUGCAACAUGGUGUCGUGCAGCUCCAUGAGGUAAUUCAGUACUAUCUCGUUAUCAUAUUAAGUGUCAUCUUUGGAAUAUUUAUGCGUCAAAUUUUGUCAUUUUAGAAUAUCGAUAGAUUAAUUACUUUUUUCUGAUAUAUUAAUUAGUCCUUCUACUAAACUUUAGUAAUUACCCUAAGAACUUGAAAAUGACUGUAAUUAACGAUUUUCUUAAGGCGCAUGUGUUACCUCAAAUGACACUUUAUAUAGUGCGGAUGGAGUACCAUUUUUGUCUGUGCAUUGUUUUGUGUAACAAUUACAUGCCUUGAGUCUUCAAAAAAUUUCAGGAACGGCUAAAACCGAUUGCAGAAGAUUGAAUUUUUCAGAGUGAAGGGUUUUAUAAGUUGACUACUUGCUCAAAUGUACAACAUUUUUGGUAGUGUAAGAUUUGGAUCACUUUGUGUUGCCAUGCUUUUGGUAACUUUAUAACUGUAAAUCAGUGUUCCCUUUUAGUAUCUUUGUAAAUGUGAUCAGUAUUUUUGUCAUUUUCAUUGUAAAUUACAUCAUUCUUUAAGGUGAUAUAUAUGUUCAUGUGAUAUAAUAGCAACUUCACUAGGCCAGAGCCUAUUUCUAAAAAUAUAAUGUGUCAAAUUAAAUUCAUUUAAAAUGAUGCAAAUUUAAUCAUGUUAAUAUUGAGUUUGUGAAAUAUAGUAUUAAUCAUCUUUUGAUUUUAAAAUACACUAGUAAGCCACAAUGAAAAUGUAAAACAAAAACAUUUGUAUGAAGCAAAUUUUUGCUGAUUUGGCUAGAGUUGCGACUCUUGGGCCGGUUGUUUCUUCUUUUGUCUAGACCCUUUUUUUUAUUUUAUUUUUAAUUUUAAAAUAGCUUUCAUUUUUUUUUUCUAAUAAAAAUAAAAUGUAGUGACAAAAACGAAGGGGUCUAAUAAUUUAGAAUUUUGUUAGAGACAAGUAAAGUCUAACCUAAAAUUAAUUUAUAAAUUGAAUUCAAGUUAUUUUGAAUUAUUAAUAUUUAUGGAGCUCAUUAAACUAAAGUUCAAUCAAUUGAUCGAUUGAUUAACAUCACAACAUAUCAUAUUUUUUUUAGAGAACAACUUUGAAUUCAAUUUUCCUUAAAAAAAAAAAAAAAACUUCGAAUUCAAUUUUAAAUAAGUCAACUUAUAUUUUUCUUGAUAAAUAUUAAUUUUUAUUAAAUUAACAUUUAAUCCGACAGGUUGCUAUGCGACAGCUUAAAAUAUUUGACCGAAAAAGGAACAAUAACUAAUUUUGGACACGUUACAGAUUAUUACAAUAUGAUUAUUACAAUCAAUCCCUAUUUUAUAGCUUGACAAGUUGAAAUAAUUGUUUUUUUAAUAUUUUAACCAAUUUUCCAUGUAAAAAAACUCUGGAAGUUUUUGACCAAGUUUAUAACUUCAUAUAUGGUAGAAAACAUUGAGAUAAUCAAGGAGUCAAGUGGACCCCGAUCUGAAUUUGUUUUUGUACCCACAUAUUACGUAUAGCAAAGUGUGUAUGUCUUCAGAAAGAUAAGCUCACAUUAUUCUGAGUAAUGGCUAGAGAAUUUCAUGCUAUACUUGGUGGUGGCCAGGGAGAUUAUAAUUCAGGAAUUUUAUAUUUAUUGGGAAUUAUCUUUCUGUCUCUUUCAGUUUUAUCCAUCAUCAUAUUUUCUUGUGGUGAUGACAACCAUCACAAGCAUCGAAAAAGAAGAGGUGGACGUGGUGGUAUAAGUGGAAUUGGUGGUGAUGGUGGAGGCCAUGGUGGUGGAGGAGGAGUAGACGGCGGUGGAGGCGGAGGUGGUGGCUAGAUCAAUUAUCUUUUGUACACAAAUAUACAUUGGUAUGAACAUGUAUAAAUGAAAAUUAAAUUAGUUCAUAGAGUUCUUUAAUUUCUGAGGUAAUUGAAAUUCUUGACAUGUUAGUUUUUUUUUUCUUUUUUCUUUUCUGUUUUCUUGUAAACAUGGAUAAAGCAUUCCUGAUUUCAUUUUUGUUUUUCUUCCUGUUAAGAAUGUCUAUGUAAUUAUUUAUAUGUGGAAUUUUAUGUUUUUUGUAAUCUUAUUGCAAUUAUUUAAUGUAGAAAUGCUAGUUGGGUUUGGGAUAAGAAGCCCAGAUACUAGAUAUGUGUGGAAUAUGCUUUAGCUAAUAUCAAAUGUUCAAUAAAAACACAUAAAAGUUUGAAGGAGUAUAUUCUGUUCUCCUUCCUUCAUAUAUCUUAUUGAAGAAAACAAAGAGUUCCCUUUAUUCAAAGGUAACCUUAAAAGUAAAAAUUAUUUAUCUUCAACCUAUUGCUUUUAUCAUCAAUCAUGGGACGGUUUCGGUUAGUAAAGUCCAUGGUUAAUGGUUUAUGGUAUGCUUUUGUACAUAUUCCAUGUGGAGGUAGGCAUGUCCCAUUUUCUUACUCAUGUUGGGAAACUCUAUUUGGUCAUGUGAUACUAAUACAAAAAAGAAAGUGUAAGUUCAGAUUGAAACCUAAGAGGGGUGAAUUAGGUUUCUAGGAAUAUUGGUUAAUUUUUGUAAGUUUAGCGUUCUUGAUAUGAAGGUAUGAAUGCGGAAAAAUAAAAGAGUAAGGAAAGAAGAAAAGACACAAGAGAAUUAUAGUGGUUCCCCUCUAAAUCUUAGGGUCAGUCCACUCCCUUCACACCCCGCGAAGGAAUUCACUAUGUUAGAAUCUUUGUUACAAGCAAUCUUACCCCAAGACCCCCUAACAAUCUUUCUAACAUAAACACAAGAAAUAAACCCUCUCUCUUCAUUACAACACAAACAUCAAACACUUUUUGUGGACUUUGAAUCUUCCCGAAUCAAAGAACCUUUUACAAGAUAGCACCCCCACUAUCUUAAACAAUAAUUCUAACCAACAAUGGCAAGAAACUUUAUAAAGUAGUUGAAGAAUAGCAAAUGUAUGGUUGUAUAUCUUUAUCAAUAUCUUUCUAACAAAUGGACUUAGUGCUCAGAAAACUUUCAAAUAAAUGUUAAAGUGCAGGCAAAGUUUUCCAAACAAUUUGAAUGAAAGUUUGAAGUGAUAUAGAAAAUGUCAAUUGAGACAAUGAAAGUUGUUGUGUAUAUUUAUUUUGAUUCUCAAUUGUAUUUAUAGAGGCUAAAAUAAUGUUGAUGAAACAAUACACUUUUUCGAAAAAGAGUUACCAAUGAAUAGACACUUAUUUAAAAUGAUACCUAUUCAUAAAAUAAGUGUAUGAAAUGCAUUUUAGAAAAAUAGCCGUUUGACACAAAUGAUCAAUUAUUAUUAGAAAUUUGAAAACAUGUUGAUUUUAAUUUGCAUCAUAAUUAGUUUUACUAAAAUAAACUAUAAUGCAUGUGUUUGCAAUUCAUGCGUGCCAUGAUUUCAAAGACCAAAUGCAUGCCAAAAAUAUUUUAUUAAAUAUGUUAUUUUCCAAAAGCAAUUAUGGUUUUCAUGCAAAAUCACAUUAUAUGAAAAUAACUGUAAGUGUGUGAUUUAUUUUCAAGAGAUUUUUAGACAUUAUUUCAUAUGGGGACUUAGAAAAAAAUUUAUAAUUAUUUUUUUUGCAUUCUAUUCUAAAUUGUUUUAUAAGUUAAGAAUGAUAAAUCAAAGAUAAGAACUAUCCUUACAAAAAUAUAACUUUGAAGCCUAAGUCCUAUUAUCUUCAUUCUUCAAUUUGAGCCUCCAUAAUUUUUCUUCUUUUGUGAUGUGAGUUACAAAAAUAUAACUUUGAUUUUUUAAGAAAAAUUAAAAUGUGUGCGUGAAAGUGCAAAUUGUUAACCGCAACAAAUUCAAAUCCUCUCGAAAAAGGGUCUUGUCCUUUUUAUCGAUUCAUGUCUUUAAUGAUCUUGUUAUGCUUAAACACUUUGAUCUGGUUCUUUUCAAAAUCAGUAGGUCUGUUUUAUUAUUAUGAGGAACAAAACUAUCACAUCAUGCACAAUCUUCUAUUAGGUCUUCUUUAAAAGCUUAUCUAGGCUCAGUUAUGGACAACGUAACUUGGCUUUUUAGUGAUAGUUCCACAAUCUCAUGUUGGCAAAUAAAUGGCUUGAUGAACCAGUUACUGAUUUAUCUCAUAUUCCCAUGCAUCUUCAUCGAUUGUUAAAGAUUAAAAUCUACGGCCCAAGACUUCAUCUUGUGUGUAAUGGUGAAGAUUUUGGGGAACUUAACUUGAAAAGUUCUUAUGAUUUUCUUAAUUCCCCUUAUCAACCUUCUUAUUGGGGGAAAAGCCAUUUUGACUACAUCCGUUUCACGUAGCAAAAAAGUGCUUAUGAAGUUAUAAGACACCGUAGGUUCUUCCACUUAAAAUCCUUAAUGGUUGCAAAAAAAGUCCAUUACAUAUAUACGAGUCUCACAAUAGUAUAUAGUAAGUAAAUGGGUUAAUAGUGUUUUCCACCCCUGUAAUAUAUGUCAAUUCUUGUUUUCGCCCCUAUAAAAUUUUUGGUUUGAUUUGCAUCCUCGUAAAAUUUUUAUUUUCCAGAAAACACCCCUAAUAGGCCAUUUUCAGAAUUUUUUUUCAAGAAAUUUUGGUUUUUGAAUGGCCUAUUAAGGGUGUUUUUCGAAAAAUAAAAAUUUUACGAGGGUGCAAAUCAAACCGAAAAUUUUAUAGGGACGAAAACUGGAAAUGACAUAUAUUACAGAGGUGAAAAACACUAUUAACCCUAAGUAAAUUAUCAAAUUAGCUAUGAUUUUAUAGAGCGCUUUCAAAUAAAUCUAUGAGAUUAGGAGUAUUUCAAAAGAGUUAUCAACUCUAUCAAACUAUCAAGCUGAUUCUUAUAUUUAACUACUCAUAAUCAAUUAGAUCUUUAUAUUUUAACAAUUUACUAUCAAUUUGGUUAUUAUAUUUAAUCAUUAUCAAUUUAGUUUAUAACAUACUCUUAGAUGAACAAAUGUGAGUUACAUUUAACACAAUCAAAUAACUUUUUGAAUCAUAAUAUCAAUAACUUAUUUGAAUGCGAAGUCAGAGACGAAUUUAACGGUGUGUGUGACAACAAGACACCUAUAUGUGUGACAACGAGACAUAACAUCACACAUAAAGUAUACUAAAAUGUUAACAAUUUAACUUUACUUGAUCAAUGUUGUGCAUUGUCAAAGACCAUUUUAGAAUAUCUAUGAAGCAAGUAACAAAAUCAGCUACAAAAUUUGAUUACAAUAUUCAACAACAUCAUACAUAUAUACACAAGUUAUUCAGGGACUCUACAAAAUUCCGAAAGAAAACAAAACAGAGAAGAGCCGUAGAAGAACCUAAGUGGGAUAUAAAGCUCACACAAGCUUAACAGCUUUAAGCUUCUGGGCUAUAUAUCAACUUCUAAUUGUGGAGCUAUAUACCUUUCCCACGACCCGAACAUGAAAACGCCGCCGCAAUAAUUUUGAUUAUCCUUAACUUGAUUUGCCCUCUCCUUGGUGGGAACAUUUGAGUGGAUUUACUACUCUGUUUGGCUUCUUCAAACUCUGCUGCUAAAGCUGAAGAACAAAUUGGGGUGUGAAAUUGCAUAAUUAGAAUACACAAUUGAAGAACUAGAGUUUUUGUUAAUGCAGUAACUGGCACUGAUAAGGAAUAGAAGAAAUGAAGAGAAACUUUAGAAUUGCAGUGAAAAUGGGAUGGGAGUGAGGGUGCGCUAUAAAAAGACAAAAGGCAGAGAGUGUGGGAACUAACUAGACAACUGUAGCAGGCGUGUCCUCCAAGAUUCCUAUUUCUUUUUCAUGUUUGAUUAAAGGUUUUCUUGAAAAUGAUUAGGACUCUUUAGUUUUAUCAUUGUCAUCAGUUUGGGCUACUCUUUAAUAAAACUCCAAUCCAAUCCAAUCAAAUUUAAUAUGGUUUAAUUUGAAUCAUUUUUUAGAUAUGGUAAAAAUAAUAAAUUUGACGAAAUUUAUUAUUAACAUCAAAAUAAUCGAUCAUUUUCAUCAAAUUUAUUAUUUUACCAUACUUAUGUCAUAUAAAUAUUAAUAAAAAAGCUACAAUUGUAUUUUGCAUAUGUAAUAUUAAAUGAAUUAUAUUGUGUCAUGUGUGAGUUACAAUGAUUAUUUGUCAUUUCAUCUAUCUAAAAAAAAUGAUUGAUUAUUUUAAACACAUAUGAAGUUGUAAAAAUGUAAAUUAAAUUAAAUUAAUCGAUUUUGAAAAAGUAAUUCGAUAUCUGAUCCAAGCGAUUUUUAGAAAAGGACAUUCAAACAUAUCAAAUAAUAUUCAAUUUUUAUCGGUUUACUGAUUUUAUUUUGGAUCAGUUUGAAUUUGAACACUUCUAAUUAUGAUUUUUUUUUUUUUACUUAAAAUUGUGGUGGUUAUUAUUUUUAUUGCUCUUAAUCUCUUGUUUUUGGAUAGAGUAAGCUUAGAUAAUCUAAAGUUGAGUCUAAAUGUAACUAAUUUUUUAUUAAUGAUCAAUGUAACUAAAACUUCCUUAAUGUUACUUUUGUUGUUGUUGCCAUCUUAUCUAUUGGUUUCUUCAUACUUAAUACAACAAUAGGAUUGGUAUAAAGUUGAGUCUUUGAUAGAGACUUAAAGCAUCUACAACGUAGUAAUGCAUGCUCUGAAUGGUUUCUAAGUUCUAACUAUCUUCACCGAUUUUUCAACGCUGUACUAUGUUCUUAAGAACCUCUUUCACACUAGUAAUAAGCAAAAAGUGUGCCUUCCAAGCAUUCUCGAAGAAAUGCUUUUGUCGUCAAACCAUCACUUUCUUCAAUGUUCAACGCAUUAUGAUCUUAGAUCAGUUCAAUUACCGUAGUUUGUUCAAUAUCAUGGGACACUUGAGUUUGGCAUUAUUAUUGGGAAAUUUAUAAUUCAUUUGUAAUUUAAAUUAAAUUAAAAAAGACAAGUAUAUUUAAUAGAGUAAAUAGUCAAUUACCCCCCUGAAAUUGUAGCUUUCGUCAAAAAACCCCCUAAAUUUUGCAAAACUUCAAAUACCCCCUGAAAUUGUCAAGCGUCUGUCAAUUACCCCCCUCCGUUAAUAUCUUCCAUCCAACAUGCUGAUGUGGCCGUUAACUGCCCACGUGGCACUGUCACAUGGCCAAAAAAAUCAUGCCACGUCAGAGGGGGAUAAUUGACUAUAUUUUUAAAAAAAAUUUGAUUUUUUUUUCUUUUCAAAAUUAACAUUUGUGCCAUCUAUUGACCUUGCAAAUACCCCCCUGAAAUUUAAGCAAAUACCCCUCUCAAAUUUAAAAUUUAUGUAGCAAAUAUCCCCUCGAAUUUAUAACUUAUAUGCAAAUUAUCCUCUCCAAAGUUAAAACUUAUAUGUAAGUUACACCUUGAAUCAUAAAACUUUGAUGUUAAAUUAAAACUUAUUCAUGAUAUAUAAUUUACUAUAUCUCUAAUUACAAUAAAAAAUAAAAUAAAAAAUCACAACUUUAAAAUAAAACAAAUAUGUUUGUUUUAUUGUUACACAUUGCAGAAAGAAGCAGCUAUUAUUUCCACAAAACCCACUAGCCGCCAAAAUAAAAAGAGUUGCAUUUUCAUCAUGUAUUAGAGUUAGAAUUAUAAUUAAAAGCAUACUAUUAAGCAGCACAUAAUUCCUCAUCAUUUUAGUGCACAACCAGUGGAGAGGAAGGGUCAAGCUACAUGAACACUACUUGUGCCAUACAACCUAGUUAUGACCACUGGUUGAGUGUCCAUUCCCUCCUAGAUGGGCUCAUGAACCAUCUCCAAUCUUCAUGCACACUUUCUCCCCAAUGAUUGCAGAGUAAACGUUCUGCUUGGCCUCCAGAAUAGAGAUAUAGUAAAUUAUGAUUAUGAAUAAGUUUUACUUUACCAUCAAAUUAAGUUUUAUGAUUCAAGGUGUAACUUGCAUAUAAGUUUUAAGUUUGGAGAGGAUAUUUGCAUAUAAGUUAUAAAUUUUAGGGGGAUAUUUGCUACAUAAAUUUUAAAUUUGAGGGAGGUAUUUGCACAUAAAUGUUAAAUUUUAGGGGGGUAUUUGCAAGGUCAAUAGAUGACACAAAUGUUAAUUUUGAAAAGAAAAAAAAAUCAAAUUUUUUUCAACAUGUUGAUGUGGCCGUUAACUGCCCACGUGGCACUGCCACAUGGCCAGAAAAAUCAUGUCACGUCAGAGGGGGGUAAUUGACAAACGCUUGACAAUUUCAGGGGGGUAAUUGACAAACGCUUGACAAUUUCAGGGGGGGUAUUUAAAGUUUUGCAAAAUUCAGGGGGGUUUUUGACGAAAGCUACAAUUUCAGGAGGGUAAUUGACUAUUUACUCAUAUUUAAUAUGAAUUCUCUUUGAUAUCACUUUUUCUAAAAUAUUAUCCAUGAUGGGACUUUAUCUUUUUUUCAUUUCGCUGCUGACAAAAUUUCAUAAUUUUUCAUAAUUUUAUGUUUCAAAUGUAAUAGUAUAUGAAAUUAAUACAAUUUAGUUGGUAGCCGCAAUAAUAAUAGUAUUAUGUAAGAAUUGAAGUUUGAACUUCAAACACCACACUUCUCCAUAUUUAAAAGGGAUUGUUUUAAAGGAGAUUUUUCCAUAUUCUCCACACUUCUCCAUAUCUAACUACUAGGUUAUAUAUAUGAAAUUAUACUAUUUGAUUUUUCUAAAGGAGAUUUUUUUAAGAGAGUUUAAAAAAUGCUAAUAAGUGUCGUUAGAUAAUUGUACCAAAAAAGGUAAGAAAAUAAUAAUUUUUUUGACGCAAUAUAUAAGAAAAUAAUUUAUUUAUUAUUUUGACAAAUGUUAGCAUGAAUUAAAAAAAUGAUUUUUUUUAUUAACUUUUUAACCCAUGUUCUUAGACAUUGUUUAAGAGUUUGAAGAAUACUUUUUUUUUUUCUUUUUCUCAAAGUGAUAAUGUUAAUAGUGUUUUUUUCUCCUUGUUAAGACUUGAACUUUAAAUCUUUGAGCUAACCCAACCCCCAAUUUGAAGAAAACCGAUGAGAGAACUUUGAUGGGAGAGAAAUAGAGUAAAAAAAUUUAAUAGAGGGACAAAAAAGUUGAUUUUUAAAAUAAGAGGAGAAAAACUUCAAUUUUUUAAAUAAGGCUACAAAAAGUGCAUUUAAGCCAAUAAUAUAUAUAUUUGGGCAAAUUUUAUGGUACACCCAAUAUAUUUGAGUGUAUCGGUACACCCACUCUUUAAAUUAAUAGUUAAAUAAGUUGUUUUUUUAGAAGAAAAAUAUUAUUUUUUAUCAUUUAUAAUUAUAAUAACUAAAUCUUAUUCAUAAAAAAUGUCAACAAAAUAAAAUUAUUAUUUUUUGAAUUUUUAUCACUCAUAAUCGAGAACAUUAAUUAUUUUUUAUGAUAAUAUGUAAAAAAAAUUACUAUAAUUCUUAUAAACAAUGAAAUGAUGUUUUUUCUUAUGAAAUAAUGUUCUAUAAAAUAUAAAUAUUAAAAAAUAGCUAUUUGUUACAUAAAAAAUGAUCGUUAAUUUAUAAAAGGCUUAAUUGCACUUUUGGGUCCCUAUCUUUCCAAAAGUUGCGGUUAUGGACCCCUAACUAAUUUAAAUACAAAACAGCCCCCUAUGUUUUGAUUCUUUGGCAGUUUUGGACCCCCAAGGCAAAAAAAAAUAAAAUAAAAAUUGAUACGUGGCACCUCACUUAGGGUGCCACGUCAGCGUUGACCGAGUCAACAAUGGACUGGGGGUCCAAAACUGCCAAAGAAUCAAAACAUAGGGGGUUGUUUUAUAUUUAAAUUAGUUAGGGGUCCAUAACCGCAAAUUUUGAAAAAAUAGAGGUCCAAAAGUGCAAUUUAGCCUUUAUAAAAUUAUAAAGCAGAAGUAUCGGUACACCUUACUUUGUUAGUGUACCGUAGAAGUUCCCAUGUAGUACUCAUCAUUUUUUCUUGUGAAAUCACCAAGACUCAUGACAGAUUUUAAGUCUUAACGAACGAACUUUAUAACAAAAGUACUUUUUUCUUUUAAGGGUUUAACAAAUGUACUUAUAUGUGGUGUUUAAAGUGCUCAUCAUUUUUGCACCAAAAACAAAGCGUGUAUGGUUUUGGCGGGAAACAACAAAGAGAGUUGGUUCAGAGGACAGAAACGCAAGAUGGCGAACAAACUCAUCAACCAAUUAGGUUUACCCAAAUCCAUCGCUAACAUCUUCACCGCUCGCAACAUCAUCACCGCCAAGGUAUCCUCACUAUUUCCUUUUCCCCUUUCAAUUUUACAUGACCUAAUUAGUAACGCCUUUUUGAAAAAUUGCAGGAUGCAUUAUCUCUCACUGAAUUUGAAUUGAUGGAGUUGUUAGAUGUUGGUAUGUCAGAAGUAACAUCCGCAAUGGCGCACAUCAGUGAACUCGUUUGUCCUCCUUGCCAAACUGUAUGUAAUAUAUAUUCACUUUGUAACACCCACACUUUUGAUCGAAGGCGUCACUGUCUUGCACAUACACAGACACUGACACAUGUGAUUACAUUCAAUUAUGUGAUUUAUUUAAAUUUAAAUUACUACUGAAGUCAACAUGUUUGACUUUCAUUUUAGGUUUUCAUACAUUAGUUUUUUUUGCUGAGUUACUGAAUCUUGUGAUAAUAAUGUGAUAGGCGUUGCUUUUGAUGGAGCAACGAGUACGAAAUGAGAGCUUGGCCGGUCAUCUUCCUACUCAAUUGAAAGGGUUGGAUGAAGCCUUAUGCGGUGGUAUACCGUUUGGUGUUGUGACGGAAUUAGUUGGUCCACCAGGAAUUGGCAAAACACAGGUGAAUUAUUAUUGGCUUUGUAACAUUUAACACUUGAAGGUUCUUAUCUGGAUGCUUUUCUGAUGGUCUUGUUUGGAUAAACAACUUAUUUUGCAGCUUAUGAAUAAGAUAUUUCUAUAACACAAAAUAAAAUAAAGUCAAACUUUUUGUAUAAUCUAUAAGCUGUUUUCAUAAGUUAUCCGGACAAGCUUAAGGAAAUAAGCUGAAAACAAUUUAUGAAUUUGUCAUAAGUUGUUUUCAUAAGUUCUCUCAAACAGUGUCGCAAGUGCUUAUACAAGUAGAUAAGUUCAAAUAAGUAAAUCCAGACAGGCCCUUGGAUUAUGGUAAUGUUUGAGAAUGUUUUCAUUAACCAUUUAUCAUGACGGGUGGUUAUUAUAUUGCAGUUUUGCUUGAAGCUUUCAUUGCUUGCUUCGUUGCCGGUAAAUUAUGGAGGCUUAGAUGGUCGAGUGAUAUAUAUUGACGUUGAAUCCAAAUUUAGUUCAAAAAGGUAGUUAAAGCACACGUGCAUUGCAUUGUUGCUUUGAGCGAAUUCAAUCAUAAUAAUACUAUUUGUUUACUGUCUAAUAUUUUUAUUUCUUUUAAAAGACAUUGUAGUAUCUUCUAUUAGUGAUUUUACUUUUUUCCUAGAUUGAUAGAGAUUGGAACAAAGAGUUUUCCUGAAAUAUUUCACAAGAAAGGAAUGGCACAGGAGGUGUGUAGAUUGCUUUUCCUUUGCUUUUUCAGUGUCUUUCAUUGUAUAGGUUUUCCGGCUCAUCUGAACUUGAUAAUAUUUGAGAAUUAAGAACUUGACAAGGAUUCUUUUUACUUGACAUGUCACAGAUGGCUGGUAGAAUCCUAAUCUUACGUCCUACAUCACUUUCUGAAUUUGCUGAGAGGUGAGAAUCUUCAUAUGACUUAAUUGUAGCUAUUCUUAGCAACAGAAACCAUGGCACACAAAAUUAAUGUAACAAUACGUGAGACCUACAUGAGAAUUAGGUACCAUAUUAAUGGGUUAAAAGACGAGAACUUACUGAUGCUUGUUCUUGUACAAUGAAGUUAUGUAUAGCUGUAGAGGAAACUAAUGCCCUUUGGUUUAACCACUAAGCACCACCGUGCUCGCGCCGCUAAUUGCCGCGAUUCACUACCUAGCGGGCACUAGAAGAUGGCCAUAAAAAAUAUCAAAGCUUUAUUUCAGAAGGAAAGAACAAAAGUAAUGCAAAACACAAAAUGAUAAAUCAAUAUUUUUGCUCUUUAGAAAAUAAGGAAAAGAUAGAAAACAAGUUGUUUUGAUGUUGUACAGGAUUCAAUGGUUAUUAACUAUUGUAGUCAUGUGAUGAUGUGUUGAGAUAGUUGCCUUUAGCCUAAAUCUCAUUCAGACUGAUAUGUUAUGUCAUAUUUCACUUUCAUAACAGAAUGGAAUUGUUGAGAUUCCAGAUCGACUAUAAAUAUGAUUGAAUUAGUCCUUACAGUAUAAGGUUUGGGAAAUCCUCGGUAAUUUACCUUGCUUUCAGGGUUGAGUUAGGCCUAGUCUUAAUUCUAAGAUUGUAUCGGAGCUUAUCUUGGACACUGUUAUUGGACCACUAAUAUUUUGUCUACGCUCCAGAUGUCCAGUUCUAGGUGUGAGAAGGUGUAUUAAGACCCUCUAAUGCUCUAGAUAACCAGUUCUGGGCAUGAGGGUGUGUUUUGAGAUCUCAACAUGCUACAUGACACGUACUCUGUCAAGACCAUCUUGUCCCUAGUCUGAAAGAAUACAAACGUUGAUCAGUAGUUAAGAAGUGGACUUGACCAAAGUUUUAAAUUAUUUGGCUGAUGUAGCCUCAACCGUGGUUGUGAAGACACAAAGCAUCUUGAUGUUGUGGUCUAAAUUGCGGUCACAAACAUUUUUUUAAAACCUUAGACUGGAUAUGCCAAUUGUGUUUCUUUUAGUUUUGAAGUCUGUUUCUGAUUCACGACACUCUUAACCGAUCUGCGUGUAACAUGCUGCUGAUUAUGCAUAUAGAAUCUGCCUCAAGUCCUAUUUUGCUCUGCUUUCUCAUUCUAAGUUUAUAUAAGAUAACUGUAUGACAUAAUGUGUUAACAUUGCCAGUUUGCAACGGAUCAAAGUAUCACUCCUCCAGCAACAAGUGAAGUUGCUCAUCAUUGAUAGCAUGGCUGCUCUUGUUUUAGGGUGAGCUAAACUUUUUGGCAAUGUUUGUGAAGAAUGUAGUCAAAGACGCCCGCUUCAAAGUUAUAAUUAUUCUUUGAAAAGGAGCUGCGUCCAAUUAGGAUGGUGUAUGUGAUGAGAAAUAGGAGAGCAGAGGAUUCCAGUUUCUGAGUUAAAGAAAACAGUUACAGUAUAACAGAACAACUAACCAAAAGUGCUGGCCACAGGUUCUCAACCAGUCUCCCAAUCCGGUGAGCGAAGCCAUUUGAUCAACACCUCGAAUUCACCUGCAGAAUUUUUCUUUAUGUCAACCACUUCUACGAGUUGUGUCUUCAACUCCUGUUUUAUUUGAUAGCAUUGGGGGCAGACGGCAGAGGUUGGCCCCUCUGAUCUGGACCCAAGGCUUUCUUCAACAAGGAGAGUUGAAAAGCUGAGUGCGUUCUGCUGUGAUGAGGUAAUUUUAUAACCUGUAUAAAACCUGUCCAACCCUCUCUGAUAAGGCCCAUAACAAUGGGAACUUUCAUCGGGGUUUUUAGAUGUAAAGCUGCGGCUUCGGAAAUACUCAAUACUUGGUCUCACUCCUUUCCUCUUGUUGUUUGCUUGUCUCUCAAUUGGUCUUGAGCCUUGAGAAAGUUCCUUCUCAAUUCAACCAACAACUCAUCUUUGCUGCGUCCGUUUCUGCUGAUUUACUUCCUCAACCUUGAAAGAAACGUAGUCCCUUCAAGAGUAAAGGAAUAACAUUUUCUUCAAUGCUCAUCCAGUUAGAAACUAUCCCUUUCUGCGUCCAACAUAAUGUGCAUCUUUACUAUGACUGAAUUUCAUUAUUUCAAUGCCUUCCUCCCUGCAUGGUUCUUCAAGGCAUCAUCAGUUGGGUGAGGUUCUUCGUCAUCUCUUCCAGCUAGGUUAGUGCAGAAGUACAAUGAACAGUAGAACCCUUGGUAUUCUAUAGACCUGGACUCUCUGCAAUAAUGAUUACACUUGUCUUCUUUUCCCUGCUCGGCUAAUCAUCUCAACUAAUAGUUGGUUAGUUGUUUUGAAACACUGUAACUGUUGUAACUAAUUCAAAAAUUGGGACCCUCCCUCCUAAUUGAAUGUUGCGGCUUAUCAUUCUCGUGCUAUACUCCUACUCAUAAUGUCUCAUGAUGCAUAUAAAUUGGUCACUUUUUCUAUUCAGUGAACAUGAUUGUGGGGCUUCCAGGCAACAAGCAUUGGGUUGGCACGUUUCUUUCAUCAAGUAAGAACCACUUGUGAGAUUUUAUGAAGUGAAAUUACAUGUUUCUUCUUGAAGGAAGUUCUGAUAUUGAACCAGUUCAGGUCACUUGCUGAAUUUUCACGCAUUCCAAUUGUAUUGACAAAUCAAGUAAGAUCUCAUGUUGGUGAUGAAUCUCUCAUGUAUUCCUUUCAAGGUAUGAUGAACAAAUUAUUUUCAGAUAGCUUUAACUAGGGUUUAACAUAUCAUUGGGCAUGUUAAGCAGCACAAAGCCGCUCUACAAAAGGAGACAUUCCUGUGACGUUUGAUUCUCAUCUUGUUGCUGCUUUGGGAAUUAAUUGGGCUCAUGCUGUGACCAUCCGUCUUGUACUUGAAUCCAAAUCAGGUUGAUUAAUUUGCAGCUGCCUUCUUGAUUUUAAAUGCAUUCUUCUGUAACAAGUUUCUGUACAUGCCACUUGACUCAAAUAGUUGGAGUGGGUGGCGAUUUGGGUUUAGGUUGUAGAGUGAACUCAUGAUACUGACUUCAUAGAUAAAUGUUAUAAUUUACUUAAUAACAAGUUCUAGGGUGGUUGGAGUCUUCCACCUUGUUAUUUUAAAAAAAAAAUUGUUUGAACACAAAAAAGUGUGAAACCAGAAAUUAAUAUCAAUUGUUAAAUAAUUGAACAUUCUUUUAGAAUAAGAAUUUAAUGUGGAACGGUUUUAACAAAUGUCUCCCUUCUUGGUUAAAACUCUUAUCAAUUUUGGCUAAAAACGUGCUAGUGUUUGAAGUUUGAAAAUUUAGCAUUUAGAUGUAAAGGGUAAAAGAGAGACAGGAAUGUAGCACAUGAUAUUAUAAUUUACAAAUGAAAGUCUGAAUAAUGACCUUAUACCCAGAUUUUUUAUGACAUCUCUUGAUCAUUUAGCCCAUCCUAUCUAAUGGAAAAAAAAAACUUUUUUGUUUGUUAUUUUGUUGGGUUUUUCGGGUAUAUUUGGAUUAGCUCAUUUUGGGUACAAAACUCGUAAUUUCAAUCUUACCAAACUUGGGCAGGACAAAGUGAUUUUUCCUAAAUGUCAACCAAAACCAAAUACACACUAGGGGCUUGGGUCAAGAACAAGUGUAGUAUAAUAUGUAAAAAGCCAACCUAAAAACACUCAGGUGUAAUUAACACAACUAAGUAUAUAACUUAGCUCAAUUAUACUAUUUAACAUGGUAUUCCUAUGCAAAAUGCCAAUGUGUCAAUCACUAUAAAAUUAUUGCGAUAAAUGAUUGUGCUUGCAUAACACAUUUGAAUUUCGGAUGAUCAAUUUCUUGCAGGUAAAAGGUUUAUUAAGUUGGCAAAAUCUCCAAUGUCACCCCCGUUGGCUUUCCCUUUUCACAUUACUUCAUCGGGGAUUGUUUUACUUGACAAUGAUGGGAUAGAGAUGAAAGGGCCAGAAAUAAGCACUAUACACUGCCAAGGUUUGUCGCUGAGCUUUUUUGCUUUUAGGAGCAUUUAAGUGGGUACAAAAAUUAUUUGGAAAGAUAAAAGCCGUAGCGUAUGUAAUGGGUGGACAUUCACAACUAGUUGUUCUGUAUAGAUUAUAAGCAUGAAUUCACGGAGAAAAAGUACUUAUUCUGGUUGACUAUGUUAAAUGUGACAACUAUGGGUUUUAGAUGUUCUUUUUGCAUACAUGAGUAAACACUUCAAUAACUUUUUAUGAGUGUUAAGUUUUAUUAAAUCAACCAUGGGAUUGAAAGCUCCAAGAAGUAGAUCUGGUCUGUGAAAUUUCAUAAAUUUAGAAUUUAGUUGUUAUUACGUAAUCGAACCAUUUAACUCAUAAUAUAAGUAAAUAUUUAUGAUUAUAUUAUAUACAUAGAAUGUACUAAAUUAUCUGAAAAUAGGUAUGCAAUAUGCAUGAUUAAGAUAAUCACAUGAUUCAACAGUUGAACUGGUUAAUAGUUUGUUCUGUAAAAAACUAUUAGAUGGUAUAAGUGAAUACUUACACCUAGUGUUAAGAGCACACCCUCCUGUAAUUUAGUCAUUGUUCGAAGCAUUGCUGAGAAAUGUGUAAUUUCUACUUACGCUAUUUUUAUGGUUUUCUUUGAUUGUCUAAGUAUAUUAAAGCUCAAACCUUGACUUACCAAUUUUGAAAUUUUUAUGAAAUACAUGCAGGCCAAAAUGCUCUGUUUAAUUUGGAAAUGGCAGGGCACUGAUUUUCAGUUGAUAGUACGCCUUUUACAAUUGUAUGGGAUAUGACAUGACAUACUAUCCAUAAAUUUUUGCUCAUCUUCUAGUGAAAGCAGACAAGUUGGUACAACUGGUUCCCUUCAACAAUCUGUAUUCUUUCAGAUAUUCUGAGGUUAGUUAGUAAUUGUCAUUGGGAUGUAUAUUAUAUAUAUAUAUUAUUGUUCUAAGCUUUUAUACAUGAGCCACAACUUCCAUAUUUUUUUUGCUUCAAGUGGUAUAACUUAUAAAAUCGGUUAUGUUCAUAUAAUACGGAAAAAUGUCCAUAUUUAUUUUCUUUUUGUUAUCAUGAGAUUACUUAUGGUUGUUUAGUCGAAAGUAUUUUCCUGUGUCUUGCAGCUACAACCUACUGUUAUAUGAAGAUGAACUGUGAUUAGAUUUUAUCAAAUGAUUUAGAUCUUAUAUUUAGUUGUGGAGUAUAGCUGGUAUCUUGCCCUGCUAUCGUCGCCACUUACAGCUAUGUUUCUCGUCUAUGUAUGGCACGUGAUAUCUGUCUCUCUAUUUUGCUUGUACUUUUGAUUACCAUCUCUGUGUCACCUAGUUGGAUGGGUGGAUUGUCGGUAGGCUUUAUUAUGAAUUAUGAAACAAACAUCUUCCUAGAAACUUUUGCUAGGGAUGUAUUGAACAGUAUAUAGUUUUGAAAUGUUGGCGAUAAUCUAGCAUUUGCCUUGAUAUAAUGCUUAACAACAUGAAAAGGCCUAAAUGUCUUCUUGACUCUACAUUGUCAAUAAAUACAACUUUAUGUAGGAGUGGCGCAAAGGUUUAUCUUUGUGUUUGUUUUUUGCUUGCAUUUCUGGAAAGUAUUAAACUACUGAAAUAAGUGAAAUAUUAUUAUCUUAUAGCAUUGCGACCAUACCUGGAGCUAGGCUUGUUGAUGAUUUUGAAGGAAUACGUAAGUUUAAUGACUACACGUAUCAAUUUUGAUUCUUUUGAAUUUUGGAUAUGCUCGCAAAAACUUGAGUAUCAGUCAAUUUUUAGACAAAUUGUAAUAUUUAUAAGCAUCUAUGUGUUACCAUCUAGUAAAAUAAAGAAAUUGUUCUUAGGUCAAAAUGCCCUGAAGCAAAGAUGAUUAAUUUCUCAUCACCUAUAUCAUUGGAAGACAUUUAUGAGCUCAUAUCCAGUUCUUGGGAGUGCUGAAUCAAAGUUGAUUUUCUUUUGGAUAGACAAAUUGUUAGUUAGUAAUUUUUGUUAUGUAAGUUUUUUCUAAUUUUGUUUGUCCAUUUGGGUUACAGAAGUGCAACUUUUAUACAAAGCUUUCUUAGCUUAACAAAUAUAUACAUCUAAAUAAUGAAACUUUGAUAGGCUAAUAUAAUGUUCAUCAUGGAUAGCAACUUUAAUACCUAUACAUAUAUCUAUUGGGUAACUAAGUACACGAACUUGUUAUGCAGACUUUAACUAAAACUAAUUGAUUGAUUAAUAAUAAAAUGUAAUUGUUUCGAUUGUGACUCGAUCAAAAAAGUCAUUGAAAUACGGUUUUAAUCUAACGGCUUCCAUCAAUUCAUUAAGUGCUCACAUGCUUGAUCAAGUGACCCAUCUUUUAUUUUUAGAAAUAAUUUAUUCUUUCUUCUUUUGGUUAAUUCCUUUCCAAAAAUUCUAAUAUUCUAUUUUUUUUUUAUGAAGGAUUCUACAUCGUUUAUUCUUAGGGUUCUUUUGCACAUGAUUUACCCCUAUUUCAUUACUCCAAAACCUAAUUGCCAAUUUUUUUGCUAUACCACUGAUUUAUGCUUCACUUCCCAAGCUAUUCACCAUUACACCUUUCAUCUUCUCUUUUCCUAUGCUAGUUGAAAACUUAAUUUUGUGGCUGCUGUCCAAAACUUAAUUAUCGUUUUGCUCAUCCUAUAACAACCUUAUUUCUUUAUUGAGUUUAUUUCUAUUAACUAUUUUUUCGAAGAGCCUCAAAAGAAAAUUGUUUUAAAGAAGGGCCAUGGAUGCUAAAAACAUGAACAAAAUGAAUAAUGACUAAUUCUCUAAUGUAAGUUCUUUAUGUAAUGUUGUGAGUAAUUCAUACUUAAGAAUAAAAAAUGUAGAAUCCUUUUAAAAAAAAAAAUCAGAGAAUUUUUGGAAAGGAAUUAACCAAAAGAAGAAAGAAUAAAUUAUUUCUAAAAAUAAAAGAUGGGUCACUUAAUCAAGCAUGUGAGCACUUAAUGAAUUGAUGAGAGCCGUUAGAUUAAAACUGUAUUAAUGGCUAGAAUUUGGUGUCAAAUUUAAUUUGACACCUUGGUGUCAUUUGAUCAUAUCCCCAAUAUAUUUUACCAACUCAAAUAUUGUAGACAUCCAAAGCUAGAAGAGCGAGUGAAUAAAAUGAUAAGGGAGGUGUAGCUAGAAUUUUCUUCAAUCUGCUGCGUAAAAAAUCUGCUAAAUUAAUCCAACUCAAAUCUGCUUGGAGUCCAACCCAAACGGUGUGCAGUAUUUAAAGAGAAGUGCUAUUUUGACCCCCCCCCCCCCUUCAAAAAAAAAAAACAAAAAUCGUUUGGUUUGUAAUUAUGAACGACAUUUCUUUUUGUUUUUAAAAGUUUCAAUGGAAAAGUCCAAAAGUUUUUUUUUUUCGUGGAAAAAGAGCAUAUAAGAGGGACAAAAGAGUAUAACAACAAGUCUUCAAAGGUCGAUCAUAUGAUAUUGACUCUUACAACGAAGAUUAUCGAUGAGUUGAUGGUAACAAAUAUAAAAUUUUAAGAUUUUAUAUUUGCAUACCAUUUUUAUUAAAUGAUAAAUAGUUUAAAAAGAUUAGUUUGAUUUAUAGAGUUUUUUCUAAAAAUGCAUGUAUUUGGUUUUUAAUUGAAAUUUCAACAAGAUGUCAUUAGUUUUACUCUUACAACCAUAUGAAAGUAAUCUGUUUAUGUAUAUUUAUAGACAAAGUACAAUUGGUUUAGAUACAGGUACUCUUCAAAAGAAUAAGAGUGUGUUUGAAUGGAGAAAUGUUUUGAGGGAAUGUAUUGUUUUGAGGGAAUUCAAAUAUUUGAGGGGAAUUCUAUUGUUUGGAUAAUAAUUUGAACUAUUUUCAAAAUGAUGGAAAUUUAUGAAGUAUUUUGUUCAAGUUAAAUUUAGAGAAUUUCAAAUGACACCUAAAAGCUAAGAAUUUCAAAUUUCUUCAUUGUUGUUAUUUUUCAUAUUUUGCAUUUUGGUCCUCAAAUUUUCCAAAAAUUUCAAAUUGACCCCAAUAAAUUUCCAAAAAAUUGCAAAUUGGUCCCUCAAUUUUUUCAAAAACUAUAAUUUGACCCCUCAUAUUUUUAAAAUUUACAUUUUGACCCCUAAUUUCAAUUUUUUAAUUUGAUCCAAAAAAAAUUAAAAUUUAUAAAAGUUGUCCAAAAAUGAUGACAAUGAAUUUUUUUAUUACUUCAUCCAAAUAAAAGAAUUGAGAAAUGAAAGUAAUUUAAUUGAAUCAUUUAAAUUGCCUAGAAUUUUAAAUUUUUUAAAAUUUCUCAAUUACCUCAUCCAAACACACUCUAAGGGUACGAGAGAAACCACCAUGUGACAUGAUUCGCGACUGUUACCUUAAUUCUUAAUUCCAUUUUAAUAUCAACAUUUGGUCUAUUUUAGUAUUUAACAUGUGCAUAAUUGGUUAUGAAGACUAAUCAAUGCCAUCUAAUUUGAGGCUGUUAAAGAUGAGUUUCAAAUACCCAAACAUAGAAGAGAAUGACAUUAUUAUACUAAAAAGGUGCUGCAGUGCAUGUGCUUCUCAAUUAGAUCAAAGUCUCAUAUCUACCACAUCUUGUUUUUAAAAUAUCUUCGAAAAUGCAUAUGCAUCACGAGGAUGACAAUAAUAAUAUUUUGUCAUGUACUCCAUCCAGAUUCAGUUCACAAGUCAUUUUUCUUUGCUUAAAGAAUCGAGGAAACGAAGCUUUUAAAUCCUAAUAACGAAAUAAGUACUAGGAACUUGGUUGCUUGUCCACAACUAUAGGAUAUAAAUUAAUUAAACUUUCUUUGGUUUCAUAAUUGAAAUAAAGUACUGGAGACAACAAGCCAAAGAUUCCACUUGAUUUUUAGUAUAUCUACAACUACAAGUAUGUCACAUGAUUUCAGUUGGACAAAUUGGACUCUAUAGUUUAUUUGUUCCUAUGACUGCCACCAGAUAUGAAUGAAUUAUGAUACCACUCAAAUCUUUCUGACUUAUUCAGAAUUAAAAAGGGAGCAAAAGAUUUCCAAAACCUUGACAAUAUAUGCCUUUGAAACUUGUUUAACUCAUAACUUAAGGUAUGUACAACUAAUCUUAAUACUAUAAUUGAUUAAAUUACUGAUGGCUGAUCAUCUUUUGUUUAUUGAUUAAACGUACGUGGCAUCUUAAUCUCCCCGAAAUGUUAAAGCUCAUUCAAACAAAUUGUUAUUUUUUUUAAUAUUUCUAGUGGCAUAAUAUUCUGUGGGCAUGAUCAACAAAGUCAUCACAUUAACAAUGAUUUUGUAUUCAAGUGAAAUGUUAAUCUAUUUUUAGCAAUUAUACCUAACUUUUUUUUGUUGUAUAAAUUGUAAUUUUGUUAGUGGAUUUUGAUAGUUGACAUUAAAUAAAAUAAAGAGCUUAACAUAUUUUUUUCGCUAAUAAAAGCUUAACAUAUUUAAUUUAAUUUACUUGAUUAUGUUUGUCCUAAAUCCUAUCUAUAUUUUGAGAAAACAAAGCCAGGUGUCCUUUACUUUUAUUGGUAGGUUGAUACUGACUUGGCUUUAUCUUCACCUCACUGCACGGCAAAAGGCACGUCCUUAUGGAAAACAAUGGAUCAAUAAUAUAACUUUGUUCAUAUUAUUAUAUUUAGGAAUAGUACAAACACAUAAACAAUAUGAUUCUUAAACCAAUAAUUGGAAUCGAGGAAAGUUAAAAUAUUGUUCAAAUAAUAAGGUUGUAACCCUACCUAUCUCAAAGUGCAAAUAAAUGAGGAUAAAAAAAUAGCAAUAAUUUCGAUUAAAAUAAUAAAUAAUUUAAAAGUUUGACAAACCGACGGGGAUAAGUUAUUAAAGAGGGCAUAUUUCCACGAAUGGAGAAGAAGCAACCACGUCUCCUUAACCUUAAACCUCGUACAUCUUGCCGACAACGUACCCAUCCAUCCAAAAGAAAACCUAAUCUUUUUUAUUAGGAAAAAAUAAUUAUUCAAAUCUAAAACUUGGUGAUUAUUGUAUUUUUUUUCCAAAUAAUUUAGUGGUUAGAAAUUCACCUAAGUGAGGUGUCUGAAGUUCGAACUCUGACCCUAUAUAUAUUGCAUCGUCUCUAACUAAGCUCAAAGGAACCAUAUUGAUUAUGUAGAAAAAGUUUUUUUUUUUUUAAUAUUCCAAUAUAUUGAUUAUACAAUUUUUAAGAUAAAAUUUAUACUUUAAACUUCUUAACAAAUGCCCUAAAGACACUUCUUACUUUGAUAGCGGUACUCAUGCACAUUUAUACACCUAACACGGGAUUUGCUUUGGCCUAAAUGUGUAUUCUUUGUUUCUAUAAAAAAUAAAAAAAAUAAAAUAAAAAGUCUUUUCUUGCCAAAACAAAGUGCGUUUGUACAAUAGUACUCCAUUAAAUAUUUAUAGUUUAAUUAAUAAGUUUAAUAAACAUCCUCUAAAAACAACACCAAAAAUAAAACAGUUUUACAAUGUGCCAUAAUAUAUCUUUUAAAUCAUUUAUCUGAUUUUCUUAAGUGAUGUGAAUGUAACAUUGGAUUUGAGAUUAUAUAUGGCUCAUAGUGUAGUGGUUGUACACAAAAAUCCCUAUGAUUUAAGGAAAAAAUUCCCUGUACACACUAACUUAAGUUAUAACUUAUGUAUUAACCUAAAAAAUUGCUUGAAACUAUUUUAAACAACAAAAAGUAUCGAGUAGUUUCAACAAUAUGAUGAUGUUUCUUUUCAACAACAUAUUUUUUUUGUCGUAUCAAUACAUGAACUAUGGUAAAAAACACAAUCAUAAACAAGUAACUAUAGAAUUUAUUUGAUGUAUAUUCACCACCUAGAUGAUAACAACAACACUUUAUAGUAAGAUUAUGUUGAUUAACAGAAGUGCAGUAAAAGACUUAAAAUGGUAAAUAAGUUAAAACAUCAAAUAUCUAUUUAACCUAAAAAAUACCACAAAUAGGUGAGUUGACCAACGAAUAAAUGGCGCGUGAGGCAUCAUUUACAGUUACCGGCAGAAUAUAUAUGAAGGGAGACACCGAGGUUUCCUGUCUACAAAGAAGAGGGACCACCAUUUUCAAAAACCAAUAGUAACUAACUCGUGUUCUUUGUACUAUUAUACACACUUUGGUCCUUCCAAUAACAACUUGCCCAAUUGGCCAACUAUGCCUAUUUUGUUGUUAGUGAUGUUACUUUCAUAUUCAUAUGUCUAUUUAUCAGCUAAACAAAAUAAAUGGUUUGCAAAGUUGAAAUUAUGUAGUUGAUGAACUUGGAUUAAAGAUGAAUUAUUUCAAGGGUUAUAGUAAGAACAUAAGUUAAAAAUUUAAAGAAGGAAUUAAAACAUAAGUGUUGUAUGAAAAAAAUGAAUUUUUAAGACAUUGUAUGUUAACAUGCAUCUUAAGGGCACACAUGUUAAGAGAUUUGAUAUAGAAUUUUUAUUUUAAAAGUUUUAUAUUCAAUUUUUUAAAAAUUAAAAUAUUAUUUUGUCAAUGUAUAACUAUACCUUUUAAGUUAUUUAACAAUUUUCUCAAAAAAAAAAAUUAUUUAACACGUACAUUUAUGCACAAAUUAACAAAAUCCUUUAAAAAUAUUUGAGUUUCAAUUAUCGAUCAGACUUUAUAUCUUUUAAUAAAACUCGAAUGACCAAAACUUAUUUUUCCUUGUAAUUUACAAAAUUAAGGGGGUAAAAGAUUUUUAUACAUCACGAUUAAUUCACUGAUCUCCACUCUCGUGCACCAAACGAGUCAAGAAUUUACUUAUUAAUUAACCACCCACUUUUCCUUUCACGUUCAACUCUAUUAGACAUCAUUUAAAAAAUUCAUUAGCAUCAUCAUCAUUAUGUAUAUUAGACAUCAGUGUGAUUGGUGGCUAUAUGUGUGAUACUAAUAUUAUUAGUUUAAGUCUACUAUAAGCCUUGUUAAUUUUCUACCGACAUCAAAAGCCGUAUCAUUCCACACCUGAAAGAAUUUAUCAACCAAUAUUUGUUAGUUUGCUGUUCUUACACGUUUUUUUAUUUGCAGUAUAAAUUAAAAUUGCAAAAAUUCAAGAUAAAACUCUACUUUCACAUUGACCAAUGUCCAUUAAAGAUGUUUAAACUUCAAUUUAGUCAUCCUUUCUCCAGUUCCUAUUAUAAGAACAAUUUUAAUAUUGUAAGUUCCACAUAGAAUAAAUAUAAAGUUUGAAUUGAGUUUAUAAAUCGUAGGUUUCAUAUAGAAUAAAUAAAGUUUGGAAUGAGUUUAUAAAGAGCGAUGUGUCUUAUUUUAUAAGUUUUUUUAAAAAAAAAUGAGUAUAUCCAAUAUAAAAAUCUAAUACAACAUCAUAUCACAUCCAAGACCUGUUAGCUUACAUGCCAUUUGGUCAUUGCUAUUGACAUACUUAGUCACGCUCCAUAUGCUCGGUUUUGGGUGUGAGUGGUGUAUUAAGGGGUCAAUAUUGGAUGAGAUGAUUAGGUCUAAGCAUGUGUUUAUAAAUAAGGGUUGUCUCCACCUUGCAAGUAAGUUCGUAAGGAUGAAUUAGACAAAACUCAAAUUGAAUUCGAGUGGUUAAUGAACUUUGAUUAAGGACAGGUCAUUUGAAAGAAUCCAAAUAUGAAUCUUGGUUGGAAUAAUUAAGUGGUUAAUGAACUUUAAUUAAGGACGGGUCGUAUGAAAGAACCUAAAUAUGAAUCUUGGCUGGAAUAAUUCGUCGUUUAAAAGAACACAAUACAAAUCCGUACUAAAAUAAUUCUUAAUGAGAUAUUACUUGCCUCUUAAUCAAACUCCAUGUUAUAACAACCAUUUUCUCUAGUAGUAAAUGGUUUAAGUAAAUAAAGUAUUUAUGGUUGAAUAAUAUAUUUAAAUUCAAAUAUGUAAGAAGAUUAAUUUGUUUAUCUUCUUAAUAAAUAUUGUUUUGUUAUGUUUCUGUAAGCUUAACUCAAUUGGUAAAAACAUUGCAUAAUAUAUGUUGGGGUCGGGGUUCGAACUCCAGACACUCCACUUCUCCACAUUUAAAAUGUGUGAUCUCCAGCCACUAGACUACUUAACAAAAAAAAAAUUGUUUUGUUACUUAGGCCCCGUUUGGAUUAGCUUAUUUUGAGCUUAUGUGGACUUAUCUACUCCCAUAAGCCUUUUUAAAGGUGUUUGGGUAAAUAAAUAAAUAUAGCUUAUCAUAGUUUCAUAAGCUGCUUAUGUCAUAUUUUAUUAAGCCUAAAUUUUCAGCUUACCCUCCGGCUUAACAACGAGCUUAUCAAUUUAUGUAACCUCCUUCGAUUCUCUCUAGAUUCACUUUUUCAAAACAUAUAUUUUAAUUAUAAUGUUAGUUAUCUUUGGUGGUGCAUUAGUAACAAAAUUGCUAGUUAAUUAUAUUACUAAAGUAACACAUGUAACUAAGAUUUAUUUUUUUUUUGAAGGAAGAUUUUUAUUAUUUUUUUGUUACGUAACAAAACUAAACUGAAUAAAAAAAAUAAACUUAACUUGUCCCUUUUUGGUAAAAAAUGUACACUAAUAUCUAUAUAUAUGGUAAGUUUAUUUACACCUCUAAUGUUAAUUUUGUCUUAUAUAAAUAUUAAUAUUUUUUUUAAGGACGAAUAUUGAUUAUACUAUAUAUAUAUAUAUAAUUAUAAUUAAUAUAUUAUAAUAUUUUUUUUUACAUCUUGAUAAUUGUGGUUCGAUUCUUUGAUUUUUUUGUUAAAAUAAAAAUAUUUAAAAUUUUGAUAAUUGUUUAUGUAAUGUCACAUCCAAACAUUUCAAUUUAUGUAAGUACUUUUUAGUGUACAUAUCCAAACAUAAAUAGCUUAUCAAGUAUAAGAACUUAUGAUAUAAGCUCUAAUGCUAUAAGCAUCUAUAUAAGCUGUUUAUCUAAACAUGGCCUUAUUCCCACUACUCAAGUGUACAUUGAACACAUGAAAUUUUAUUUGAGGCAUGUUUGAAUGAUAGACGAAGUAGACAAAUUCAAGAUUGCAAAAACCUCACUAUGUAGCAUUACAAACUAGACUGACUCAUAGUAGUUGAUCAUUCUCAUCGUUCAUCCAAACAAACAAUUCAUUUGUCAUUGUUGUAGUAUGAAAAGGAAAAAACCACCAAUCAUUUUAUCAUUUGCUUCUAUGCCGUUGACAACUUUUUGGGUACAACAUAAACAUACAACGUUUUCAUAACUCACAUGGUAGUUAUGUGAAACCUAGAUCGAUAAGAACAAUAAUAUACCAAUUUUGACCUUAAAACUAGAAAGUGGAGUACUAGUGAUAGGAGUUAGUGGGUAAGGAAUGUGUGUAGAAGAUGAGAACACGUAUCUAUUCAUAAUUGGUUGAGAGAAUAAUGGAAAAAGACACAUAUUUUGUUUUUCUCUAAACCGGCCAUAGCAGGUGUGAAUGUCAAAUCAUAUCAUAAUGGUGUAGUUGGGUCUAAAUCUAGUAAUAGUCAAGUUACCCGAUUUAGAAAGCAAUGUUCACCAAAAAGAUUUUUAAGGUUGGAGAAUUACCCUAAGAAGAAAUACUUAAUUAUGUGACUAACAAAAGAUUAUAGGAUUAUUUAGUAUUUACCAUGGAUUAUUCUCUCACGUGGGUCCAUCUGUCUUAUUCUUGCCACUAUUUUUAUGGUCACUGGCAAAGGGCAAAGUGCCAAGUUGCUGUUUGUUAGGUGUCCCUUUUAUGUGUUUGGCUAUAUAUUACGUUACGUCCUUAUUCUUUGAGAGGAAAGUUCAUGAAACAAAAGUGGGGACAAUUAUGGACCUACACACAUCUUUCAACAUUAUUUUGUUUUAAUGAUUAGAUAAGACACCUAACCUCAACAAAAAAAAUUAAAUGAUUAGAUAAGACACCUUAUAUUACUUUAGUUUAUAUCGUAUCAUAUGAUAGGUCUUGCCUGACCUUGAUAUUUUUCUAAUGGUUGAACCGGUAAUACCAAAUUAAUUGAUUAUCGAUCUCAUUAGUAAUAAAACUUAUAUGAUAAAGGAUGAUAAAGAUGUGAUUAUUCAUUUUUCAACUCAUAAUGUGUGAGCUUGGCUAAUAUCUAUACUUUUGGUAUAAAAUUAACAUUUUUUUUCAAGUAGUUUAAUGAUUAUAAUUUUUUUUUUAAAUUAAAAAGUUGAGGUGUUUGAGGUUUGAACUUCGACAUCGACACAUGUAUAUAUUAUUAUAUAAUAUAUGUAUCAAUUAAAUUAAAUUCACAGAGACAAUCUAAUAUUAAUUAAUUAUUUAUGAUUAAACCUAACCUAAGCAUAUUUGUUAAGGCUAAUUUUAAGGUCUUACGUCUCAUUAUAUAUAAACUUGGAGGGACAUGCAUAAACCAAACUAAUAUAAUAAAACAAAAUAGAAAAUAGAGUGAAUAAUAAUUCUAGUCUCACCCUUUCAAAAAAUAAUAAUAAUAAUUCUACUCUCUCAAAAUAUAUCAGAUACAAUUUGAUCCCUCAGGAUAAAAAAUAAAAAUAGAGUAAUUCAUGAUACUUUAGCCUUAUUUGAACGUCCAUAAUUUUUUUUUUCCGCCAUAUUGCCCACAUGUUGAAUGAUUGAUUGAAUUAAGGACAAUAUAGUCUUUGAUGAUAAUUGAAAAGAGACAAUAUAGUCAUCAUUAUAUCUAAAUCCCUAAAUUGCAGCUUCCUCAAAACACACAAACCUCCAUUAAAAUAUAUUUAAUCCAGCUAUUACGUGGAUUCUAUAUUAUCUAGAAGUACUUACACAUGAAUAAAAAAUAAGCGGACCAUAAGCUAUUAGAAUUUUUUAGAUGACAGAAUCAAUCAUCAUAAACAUAAUAUUUAUGGACCUAUAAGAUAUGAAAUUGUUAUGCAUGACAAUUAAAACUCUAGUAGAAAGUCAACAGAUUUGAUAUUAUUGGCUUCCAUAUAGCCUAACAAAAUUGACAGUUGAGAUUAAAAUUCAUCUUGGGUAUAACUUCCUCCCAUCAAGUGAGUAUUUCUCUGAAAUGCAAAACUUGAUCAAACCAAAAUCAACAACUUUGGAAUUGAAAUUUCAUGAAGCUUUUAAUAUCUUAAGGUCCUUUUUUUUUUUCAUUAAACGAAUAUCUAUCAAAUGAUCCACUUUCCAUGUAUUCAUGAACAAGUGUUAUUAAGCUUCUUUCAAAGCAAAAUUCGGAUUAGCCUCACAAGAUUGAACCGGUGGAAGUGCUUCAACGGAGGUUCAUGUCAUGUGUUCAAGGAAGAAGAUGUGAUUUAGACAUUUAAAUAUGAAGCUUAGUUCACCACAUUGGUGAAGGAAGUUAACCUCUUGCCGCAUCCAAACUUUAUUGAUUUGUUCUUUUUUAUUAAUUUAUACAUAAAAUGAUAUGUAUUUUUACGAUGUGUUUGAUCAAUAGCAAUUAUAUCUUGGACAAAGAGGAAAGGAAAUUUAUUAAGACUCGUAUUAUCACAGGUUUCUUAUUCUUUUUUGGUUAGAGUUCUUCCUUAUAAUAUUUAACUCCCAAUAUAAAUUGAUUGUUGAAUUUUCUCUCUCUAUUUAGUAAUUUUCCUAUACUUAUUUCAUUUGUAGGCUCCUUUUUUUUUUUUGGGGGGUACAAUGUUUAAUGUUAUGCUCCACUAUUUCAUUUCUGUAAAGAAUCCCCAACCACGUGAUAUUUCAUCCUUGAUUUUGGGGACCACUCCUAUAUAAAGAUAGUAAAUACUAGAUAACAAAUAGUGUGUUCCCUUACAAAAAAGAUAACAAAAUUGGGUAUUUGGAUGGUGGGAAGAUAGAUUUUGGGUUAAAUAGUAUGCCCAACGAGUACAGUUUGAUUUGACUGAGAGAUCAUCGAACAAGAUACGCGGGCCACUAGCAACAUUACUAAAGCCAUCAUUAGGUCAUGUCACACAAAAGUAAACCAUAAUAAUCUAAAGAGAUGUUUUUUACUCAAAGAUAACAAUAAUCUAAAGAGAAAGAUGUUUUUUCUACUCAACAUUUCCUUCAUGCUUAAUUGCAUUUGUUGUUUUCUUUUUUAAUUAAUCUUGCCUAAUUGUAUAUAACACAUUCUUCCAUAAUUGUCUAGGUUUAAGAGUUGUGUUGUUUAAUUAGUAUAGAGUUAAGAUAUGUUGACAUCAAAUAUCAAACUUAUCAUACUUACAUCUUUAAUAACCCUUUAUAUAAAGGGAAGGUAAAAUUGAUCUAAUCCAAUUGUUGAAUCAUCUUAUAUUAUGUUGAUUAUCUUGUAUACAAAUUUUAAACUAAUUUAAACAUUUGUUGGUAUAUGUUGUAGUAAUUGUUAACAUAAGAUGAUUUGAUAAAAAUAACAUAUAAUUUUAAAAUUUUAUCAGUCUUAUAGGCUUGGUUUAGUUAAGGAAAAUUUUAAUUCAACAAUCGGAUUGAUUUAAUUUGUUUUCUACAAAAAUAUUAUUCAAGAUGUAAGUAUGAAAAUUUUGACACACAGUGGCAAGAAAUCUUGAUUGCCAAUAGGGAUGACAAAGCGGGUUCGUAUGCUCCGCUUAAGCCCGUAAAUAAUGAGCCAAGUCAAUUUAAAUGAUCGAGCCUAAACUUCCACCCCUACCUUGCUUAGUGGUAGGCUGGCAAGGCCCGUCAAAAAAAUUAAUACAUAUUUUUGAUAAUUUUGUUGUUAUAAAAGAGUAUGUUGUUGUUAUUUCAAAAAAUAAAAUAAAAUUGGGAAGAAAAUAAAUGUGAUAAAAAACAAGCUUACGAUUCACCGAAAAGAAGAAGAAAAAAAAGCUUAUGACAUAAAUCUGGGUUAUGAUGGGUUAUUAGGCCGCUUCACUUUAAAUUUUGUCUCACCCAUUGAACAAAAUAAAAAAGGGUUUUAGUAAUAAGUGUCCAUAUGAUAGACACUCUUUAAGCAUUUCAAAAUAAUUAAUUAUUUUUUAAAAAAGUUAAAUAUUUCAACAUUCAAUAUAUUGAAUACACGCAUUUUCAGAAAUACCUACCACUUAUAGUCUUAAAGAGUACCAUGAAGGCACUAGUUAAUAUUUCUCAAUAAAAACAAUAGCAAGUUGGAGGGCCGCAAAAAAUAAAGAAAGCAAAUUCAAAACUUCGGCUUAAUCCACAAAAAAUAGCGGGUGAAACAAGCCGGACCAGUGGGUGGGACUCGUUUUGCCAUCCAUAUUGAUUAGUCUAGACAAUCAUGUACACUUGAUGUACACACUUAGGGUGUGUUUGGUUUAAAAGAGAAGUUGUGAAGAGAGAAGUAUGUAGGAGAGAGUAUAGGAAGAGAGAAAUAGGUGAGAAAUAGAGUAGAAUUGACAUAUUGUUUGCUACAAGAGAGAAAGGAGAGAAAUAAAGAAGAAAGGAGUCUGUUAAAUUUAUGAAAAGACCAAAAUAUCCUUGCCCUAAGAGCUUUAAUAUACAAUUUUAUUAUAUUUGAAUUAGUUUCUUAUAUAAAUUGAUAUAAUUUUUUACACUAAUUUAAUUAAGAAAUUAAGUUUUUUUUACAAAGAAAUUAAAUAAUGGUAGUUGUAUGUAUAUUACCGACACCACUAGGGACAAUUUUGGAAAAGAGGAAAAAGUUAAGCUGUUUACUCCAUUUCUUUGCACUCCAGGAGAGAAAUAAAACAGGCAUGGGUCCCACACGAUUUGGUCUCUCUCUCCAAUCUCUCUUCUAAACCAAACAGGAGAACAGGUUUCUUUCUAUCUAACUUCUCUCUUCCCUCUUUCUCUCUUUCUUAUUUAAUCUCUACCAAACACAGUGUUAGUGAUAAGAGCUUUGUUUUGUAAACUCAAGUAUUGAGUUCAAAUCUCCUUAAAAUCAUUAUUUUUUAAGGAGUUUUUUUUUAAACAAAAACAAAACGAUAUUCAUUCAUUCAACUCGAUGAAGUACAUCAUUCAACAAUACUAAAAACGUAAAGAAUGAAUUUGCGAACAAACUCACAUCAUCCAAGUUAAUCGCAUAUAACGACAUAAUGCCUAUAAAAAAUAUAGGCUUAAUUACACCACGGGUCCUUUAUGUUUGACAUUUGUAACAGAUAGGUCCUUUAAGUUUGUUUUGUAAGAGAUAGGUCCUUUAACUUUGUAACAGUAUACAACUAAGUCCUUCCGUUAACUCAGCGUCAAAAAAACGCUGACGUGGCUAUGAAGUCUGUGAUGUGGCAUGCAAAAGGCAAAAACAUGUUAUUAAUUGGAAAAUGUUAUGAUUAUUUUUGAAGAUUGCUGAUGUAACUUGCAUGUUGUUGGCUUUAACUUGUGUUAUUGCAACAAUAAGCUUGAUAUUUAAUCAAGUAAAGUGAAUAAUCCUUGUAACAUGUUGUUUUUUUUAGUUUAAUUUAAGCGUGCAAUCAUGUUAGACGAUGAAACAUUGUUGAGUGUAACAUUAAUGUAAUGUGUUAAGUGUUUUGUUUAAGAAAAUAAAUGUUUUGUUAACGGAAGGACUUAGUUGCACAGUGUUACAAAGUUAAAGGACCUAUCUGUUACAAAACAAACUUAAAGGACCUAUCUGUUACAAACGUCAAACUUAAAGUUAAGCCAAAAAUAUAUGAUAAAAUAAAAGUGACUGAAAUACUCGUGCCUCCGGAUCUGCAACGUUGAUGCCCAAAUUUUGGAUUGAAUAAUUGAUCUUUCAAUAUGAAUUAAAUGAAUACCGCAACAAGACGGGAAAUCAAACAAUGACGCACAAGAUGACGAACAAACUACCACAACAUUCAGAUGAUGAAAUCACGAAGAAAAAAAACCUAGAUCUAUGUGAAAAUCAUUUAUUUAAAUUGAAAUAGAGAGAAAAAGAUGAAGAUAAGUGAUUUCAGGUCAAAAAUUGAUCCAAAGCCACUCCUCAACGAAGAAGUUAAAAGAAAAAAUCUAAAGAGAAAAAACUAUGGCCGACUUGUUGAAGAAAAAAAACCCUUAUAAUUAACUUAUUUAUUAGUCCCCUUAAAAAAAAUGAUCUACUGUCAUUUUUCGUUUUCAUGAAUUGUGCGAUCGAAAACCACAAAUUCUUACUUCAAAUAAAAUCGAUUCUAUAAACAAAAUUAAUUUUACUUUUUUUUGUCAAACUGCCUAAUAACUAUAAUUCGACUCUUAAGGUAAAUAUAUUAUCAAAUGUCUCUAGCAAUUGAGUUAAAAUCAUGAAAACAAUCAAUUAUGCUUUAUCACAUUCAAACAUAUCAAAAUUAAUUAUACUCCUCUAAAAUAUUUUUAUUCUUUUAAGGAAAAUACAUCUCUAAAAUCAAUUUUGACCCUUCCAAACUUAUGAUCAAAAUUCUCUAUAAAAAAAAAAACUUAAGAUCAAACAUACACUAGAUAAACAUUAUAUAUAUAUAUAUAUAUAUAUAUAUAUAUAUAUAUAUAUCCACAUAAAUGAUAAAAGACAUAUUUAAACAUUAUUUUUAACUUUUUCUCAAUAAAAAACAUUAUUUUUAACUUAUACAAUUCAAUGUAACAUUUAUGAUAUUUAUAAUAUAAAAUUUCAUCUUCCCCACUCCCACCAUUUAUUUUUGGCUUAAUUGCACUUUUGGACCCCUAUCUUUUCAAAAGUUGCGGUUAUGGACCCCUAACUAAUUUUAAUACAAAACAACUCUUUAUGUUUUGAUUCUUUGUCAGUUUUGGACCCCCAAUCCAUUGUUGACUCGGUCAACGCUGACGUGUCACCCUAAGUGAGGCGCCACGUGUCAAUUUUUUUAUUUUUUUUUGCCUUGGGGGUCCAAAACUGCCAAAGAAUCAAAACAUAUAGGGCUGUUUUGUAUUUAAAUUAGUUAUGGGUCCAUAACCGCAACUUUUGAAAAAAGAGAGGGCCAAAAGGCUUUUAUUUUUUGAUAGAGGGUUACCAUAUCAUCAUAUCUUUUUCUUUUCUUCAAUAGAUCCGUAUCAUCUCUUCUCCACCAUAUACCAAAAAUCCCUUAUUAAUUUCUUGUGUAAUAAUUUAAAAAAACUUUUAUUGCUUCCCCAUAACAAGAAACUCAGUUCUGGACGGUUGUUUUAGUUACUCACCGGUAACCGAUUCAACCGGUUCUAUCCAUGAGAGAGAAAAUCUUUAUAUAUAUUCAUUCUUCUCUUUCAUAUUAUUCCGUUAUUUUCCAUCUUCAUCUCUCUCACUCUCUCCGGUCACCGGCUAAUUUUCCGGCGAACUCAAAAAAACUUGAGAACUUACAAAUUCUGUUUCUUUAGUUCUUUUCAACCGCGCUUUCGAUCGAAGAGAAUCUCCGGCGAUGUUGAAGUAGUAUUAGUUUGGUUAAACAAGAUUAGAGUAAUAAUUAAUUACUUGAAGAUUAAGCAUCAUGUUAGAUCUUAAUCUGAAUGAAGAUUACGAAGACUCGAUCAUGCUGGUGGAAAAACUUCCAGAAGCUUCAUCAGGAACUUCGAAUUCAUCCAUAGUGAAUGCAGAGGCUUCAAGUAACAUCACCGGUGAUGAAGACUCGUGUUCAACACGCGCUGGUGGUGUUUUCACUUUCAACUUCGGUAUCCUGAAGGUGGAAGGAGGGAACGAUGAUGUUGUUGUUCCGACAAAGGAGUUUUUUCCGGUGAGUGCCGGAACUUCAACGAUGAUGAUUCCGGCAAGGAAGAGCGCGAUGGAUCUUACAAUGGAUCGUCGUCUUGGCGGUGAAAAUGGAGUUGUUGAAGUUCAGCAGAAGCCUCAGGCGAAGAAGAGUAGGAGAGGUCCAAGGUCGAGGAGUUCGCAGUACAGAGGAGUCACGUUUUAUCGGAGAACUGGAAGAUGGGAAUCACAUAUCUGGUUCGUGCACUUCGUGUUCAUUUUACUAUUUUAGCCUUUCUCGUAUUUUUUUACUCGCACCGGAUCAUAUAAAAUGUCUCUGCAUUUUAUCAUCUUAGUUGUACUUACUCUUAUGGUGGAAAGUGGUUAUAAUUUUUGUGAGAAUUUUGAAUUUGGAUAGUUGAAUAAUAUCUAACUUGUUUUAUUUGGUGGUUGUGUUUUGUAUUUUUUAAUUUUUUUUUUUUUAUGUAGGGAUUGUGGGAAGCAAGUUUAUUUAGGUAAUGAAUUUGUAUUUUGAUUAAUUUCAUUUCAUUUAUGUUGAAGUAUUUAUUAUAUGCUUCUUUGCUAUUUUUGGAAAGUUUUAUGAAAUUUGUAUUUGGGCUUGUAGGUGGAUUUGACACGGCUCAUGCUGCUGCUAGGUAAAAUUUCUGCACAAAUUUAAUAAUUUGCUUUCAUUGACUUUAAGAUAUUAAGAUAGUGAUUUGAUUAUAGAUCAUUGACUUGGAAUUUUUUAAUACAGAGCCUAUGAUCGAGCUGCUAUAAAGUUUAGGGGACUUGAUGCUGACAUUAAUUUCAAUCUAGUUGAGUAUGAGGAAGAUAUGAAUCAGGUUUGUAAACCUUUUGAUUAGCAGAUGAGUGUAUACAUGAGGAUUUAUCGAAAUCAAGGUGAACCACUGUGAUUUUGUAAAAACUACUUAGCGUGGCCUUUGCAAAUUCACGGGGACUCAUUGUGAUUUCGGCAAAUCCAUAGUGACAUCAAAUAUGCACACAUAGAUGGAUUGUAUGAUUGAUUUUUCAUAGUUUUAAUUAUUAUUAAUGAUGAUGAACAGAUGAAGAAUCUUUCAAAGGAGGAAUUCGUGCACAUUCUCCGUCGCCACAGUAACGGUUUCUCAAGGGGGAGUUCAAAAUACAGAGGAGUAACACUUCACAAAUGUGGUCGUUGGGAAGCUAGAAUGGGACAACUCCUUGGCAAAAAGUGAGGACCUACUUUUAUUUAAUCUGAAAUCAAUUAAACUGAAAUAGUAGUUUGGUUUAAUUUGUUGUAUUAUAGGAUUUUAUAUGUGAUAUGCUCUGAGUACCAAUUCAAGUUCCUGUUGGCCUAUAAAAGGAAAUGAAAUUGAUUUCACUUUCAGCUUAUUCUCAAAUGGGCUCUAUAAUCUUUAGGCUUUUUCCAUGUUUGGAGAAACAUGUGUAAGAUGCCUGUUUCAAAGAAACAAUUGGCAAAGGUGUUUUUGUUGUUAUAGAUAUUGCAAUGAUUUCAUGCAGGUAUAUAUAUCUUGGGCUAUUCGACAGCGAAGUAGAAGCUGCAAGGUCCUUGUGAUACAUAAAUUAUGUUCUUACAUAAUGUCUUGAAUUUAUUACACUUAAAUUAUCAAAGCUCAUUAGGAUUCUAACCAAUACGUUUCUCUCUUUCCGGAAAUCAGGGCUUAUGACAAAGCAGCUCUAAAAUGCAAUGGAAGAGAGGCUGUGACUAACUUCGAGCCAAGUACAUAUGAAAAUGAGAUGAAACCGGGAGCUAUUAAUGAAGGUAGUACUUCAUACCAAAGUAUUUUCUGACAUAUUUGACCGAGACCAGAUACUUUAAUUCAUUAAACAAAGUACAAACUACUCCUAUUAAUUAAUAUUUGCUCAAUAUAUAAAGGGAUUUAUGUUUGUUUAAACACAGGUGGCAGUCACAAUCUUGACCUUAAUUUGGGCAUGGCGACUCCAGGACAUGAACCCAAAGAAAACAAAGGAUAUUGUCAAUUUCAGACCGUCCCUUCUUACAACAUGCAUCCUGGAAGGAAUUUAAAGGUAUAUAAUUGAAUUUUACUACUUCCAAAUUUAAUAUAUUCGUAAAAUGUACAUGUAUUAGUCUAAAUUUAAGUCCAGAGUAAUACAUCAUAAUUUCCUAUGUUAUUUUUCACCCCAUUUGCACUCAAGCUAGUUCCAUAACAUAACACUCUUUGUAGGACACUAUAACUAUAGAGCAGAAUUUUUUGUGUGGGUUCAGUGUAAUUUUGGCUUUUGUGGGUUCACCUCAUAGCUAAUUACCCCUAGCUUUCCUUUGAAAGCUGUUAAUCUUUGUGAAACUUUUGGCUCAGAUUCUUCAUAAAUUGUCACGUUUGGUAAUAACGUGGGUUCACUUUAUUUGCAGAUGGAGACUAAUGUUAAUUCAGUUAUUGGUGACCCGUCUUUGAAAAAGCUGGUUGUAACUGAACAGCGUCCUCCCAUGUGGAAUGCCACGUUUUCUAGUUUCUUUCCCAAUCAGGUAAGAAUUCACUGCUUAUUAUCUCUCUCUACCUCUGAUAAAUCUGUUCACUACCUAUUAUGUAGUUUUGACCUUUGACUAAAGUAAAUUGCUUUUCUUUGCCCAGCGUUUCAUAAACCUUCGUCCUUUAAUACUUGACAUAUUUGACCAUUUCAUACAGAUUAAGAAAAAAAUGUAAAAAUGAAAGAAAGAGAAUGAUAUUUUUACUGAAUUGCCCUUGUUAUUAUUUUGAAACCUUCACUUUUAUUAUUUUGAAACCUUCACUUUUAAGUAAUGAUUACUUUUUUGUUCCACUACAAACUUUUACAUGAGGACCACAAAAAGUAUUUAUAAGGGGUAAAUUUGUCAAAUUCUAUUUAGAAAUCUGAGAAUGUCAAAUAUUGUGGGACAAAUAUUUUUUUAAAAUAGCUAAGUAUUGAGGGACGGAGGUAGCAGUACAAGUGUGUGUUUUCUUUGAACAAUAGUAUAUUUGAAUGUAAAAAGCAUGUUUAGAGUUCUAACUAGAAAUUAAAAUCAGUCCAUAUACCAUCCAAACGUGUCAAUAUCAAUUUUAUGCAUUUGAAAUCACUUUUGGCUUUUUAUCUGAAAAACAAACACACACUUCAAAAUUAUUUUCUUCUCAGUGUUGGCAUUAGAACAAGGUGGGAAGUUUGACUUUUGACAUUAAACAAUUAAAUUCUUAGGGAUGUACAAUGUGCAUUAAUUUUAUUUUUUGACUUUGCAUUAAUUAAUAUAUAUUUGUUGAAAUAUUUAGCAGGAAAGGGCAGAGAGAAUUGGCAUUGAUCCUUCAAAAGGACACCCCAACUGGGGGUGGCAAGGGCAUAAUCAAGGCACUGUUUCCCCAGUACCACAAUUCUCUUCUGCAGCAUCAUCAGGAUUCUCCAUUUCAGCUACCUUUCCACCAAAUGCAAUCUUUCA